AAAAAAGAAAAAGUACGUUUUNNNNNNNNNNNNNNNNNNNNNNNNNNNNNNNNNNNNNNNNNNNNNNNNNNNNNNNNNNNNNNNNNNNNNNNNNNNNNNNNNNNNNNNNNNNNNNNNNNNNNNNNNNNNNNNNNNNNNNNNNNNNNNNNNNNNNNNNNNNNNNNNNNNNNNNNNNNNNNNNNNNNNNNNNNNNNNNNNNNNNNNNNNNNNNNNNNNNNNNNNNNNNNNNNNNNNNNNNNNNNNNNNNNNNNNNNNNNNNNNNNNNNNNNNNNNNNNNNNNNNNNNNNNNNNNNNNNNNNNNNNNNNNNNNNNNNNNNNNNNNNNNNNNNNNNNNNNNNUCGUCUUAUGUCUUUGUUUUUUUUGGUCUUACCAAUAUUUAUCUUUAGUUCUGUUGCGAAAUUAAAAAUUGAUAUUUAUAUGCAGUUGCAUUUGUGGUGCAAAUUAUGUAAAAAAUGGAAUUGCGUUACUGUAAUACACACAACUUGGUUUGAGGUUAGGGAAGAGAUUGAUAACUUAUGUAGGGGGGUGAGUUAAGUCACACUUUUUAUCUUUUUGUUUUUAUCAUUUUGUGGGAACUCUUUUAAAUCAUUGUAUAUUAAAUGGGGUGAAAGUUAGGUGUUGGUGUACGGAUACCAUUUUCCCCAUUUUUAAAUAGCCUCUAGUGUGGAAUAGAUUUGGCAGACUCAACCAGUUUUUACAAUAACACUGUAAAAGAACCCAGGUGCAGUGAUAUGACUUGUGAGCUACAUUUCUUACAAUGCGAAGCACAUUCUGAGUAAUUGCAUGCAACUAUAAUCUUAUGUAUAUACUGUUUAGAACAAGAAAUGGUGUAUGUACAUCCUAACAUGUUUAAACUACCAGUCAUUAACCAUGACACGAUCUUGUGUAUCUAGAUUGUUGGUUUGUACGUCUUGCAACUUUUAUAGGUAACAUGAGAGAGGAAAAUGAUCACUAGGUUUCUAGUAAACGUUACAAAAAACAUUUUGUCCCAUCUUUUAAAUAGAAAUAUUUCUACGAUAUAGACCUGAUGUCAGAUCUAACCUCUUUUUAAGUAAUAUAUGUACUCUGUGUGGAGCUGCUGAAGAGACAAUGUUCAUGGAAGGGAUAGCAAGGCCAGUGAUAAGAUUCACAGACAUACAGAGUAUUCAAGAAUUGUAAGAAAGGUGGCCCAAGGUAGCAACAACAAGAUGGAACGUGCCAUUGUGGAAACUAACGCCUUGUGCAAUAAUAUGGGUAGUAUGGAAGAAGGGGAAUGGCCCAUUCUUCACAGAGAAGACUACCACAGUGGAGAAAGUAUGCUUAAUAGUGAAAGUAGUCAUUUGACAAAGGGCACUGGGGGAAAAUAGAAAGGAAGGAACGUAGAUUUCAUGAAUUAGUUCAACCAACUGUUUGGCAGUUACUACUGUGGCUGUGUGGGUCAAAUUCUGGUUGAAAACUGUUGUAAAUUUUGAUAGUUGAUGUCGUGGCUAUUGUAAGAGCCGUGUUCUCAAGGAGCAAUCACUUGAGUUUUGUUUGUAUAAUGUGAUGUAAUUCAACACCAAUCAAUAAAAUUGCCACUCAAAAAGAAAGGAAAAAUCUAACCUCUUUUAUCUUUUUAUGGUUGCUAACAUUGUUAUAAAAUGAAGUCUGGUAUUUGACUUUACCAGCUUUAAUGUUGUCUAAUGGCGAAAAAGUGGGAGCAUCAUGAGAGUUCAUAUUCAUGGGAGGUCGAUACUCGAUACUAUUUGCUGAACACAUAGUAGCUGUUUGCACAUAAGUUGUUAGUGUUUGCAAUGCCCUGGGUCUUCUUUCAAUAUAUGAUGUCAUUUGGAUUUUCUGUUGACCAUGUUUGUGGGUGUUUGCAUUGAUGUCAACUCUUCCUCUUUUCUUCAGCUUGCAGUUUGAAGGGCUGUGGGAGUCGAUGAGUGGAGAUAAAUGAGGCUGCCUGUGCUCGUGUAUAUUUGCCCUUUUGUCCUAAAAGGAAACCAGACUUCAAAUAGAUUUGGGAAUUCCAUAGUUCUAGCUUCUGAUGUAGAAGUAGAAUUUUAUUGUACUUUUUAUUUUUAUGUUGAAAUGAUGAAAUCUUUGUUCGACAUUUCUAUUUCUUUAAAAAGACACCAGUGAUGUUUGUAGGAUUAUGUCAUGAAGAUGAUAAGGAACAUGUUUAGGAUUUUGUAGAAAAUACUUUUAAUAUGAGGUGUAUCAGAAUUAGGAUUUUGUAGAAAAUACUUUUAAUAUGAGGUUUUUCAGAAUUAGAAUUUUGAUCCUUGUGUAUCGUUUGCAUCCCUUCAUCUCUUUUAUCAUGUAGGAUGCAAUUCUUGGAGGAAUAUGUGGGUACUUUUAAUUCUGGAGUUGCAGUACAUGAAUGGUAUGAGCUGGAAUGUCAUUCUAUCAUUUGUUUGAUGUGUAAAUUUUUUAUCAGCUUGGGAUUAGUUAGACUCGGACAUAACCAAUGCUAUCAUCCAUUUGUUUUUUCCUGAAAUAUGUUUUGCGGUUAAGAGCUUUAACUAACCGUAUUGGUUAAACAGACUUCUUCAUAGCUCUAUUCUCUGUUUCAAUCUGCAUUCGAAAUGCUAUUCUUGUCCUAAAUCAUAUACUUUAUAAGAGUUGUCAAUCAAUACAAUCCUUGAGACCUUCAACCGAGCUGUAAGGGUGAAAUAGCGGAAGUGGAUACCAAGUAGCUAGUCAGAAGGUGCAGAUCAAGGUGCACAACUUCCUCGGUUGUCAUCCAUGACAAUGGCCAAAUUGAAAGAUUGUAUGGUCUGGCACUUGUUUGCAAAUUUUUUGUUCAAAUUGAAGAUGGGAGUUAUUUCUGCUUUUAGGUCAAAACAAGGUCUCAUGGGACAGUUGGUUAGUAACUAUUAUGUGACUUUGUUAUAGUAAUAAUCACAAAUAAAUGAUGUUCUAAUCGCUACAAUUAUUGCUAAUAUCCACUGUUUUGAUGUUUAACUGAUCACUUUGCUUGAAAGAUGCCAUUCAGCAAAGCAAAUAAAACUACUAGACCCCAGCUUUACUCAGUUGUGGAACAGAGCAAUGUUCAAUCAUAGUACACUAGUCAUCACAAAAAGGAUUUGAAAACCUCAAACAAGUUGUGGAUGUAGGUGGCUUGUUAGUAUGAAGAAAGUGUGUUGUGUUCGUAAUAAUUGGGUGAUUUAGUAUUUGAGUACAAUAAAAUGCGAGGAGGAAUGAGGAUUUUGAAUGUUUUACUGUAUUAGAGGUGAAAAAUAUGUACGUACCUUACCUAUGAUAAAAAACAGACAGAGUUCUGACUUUCAGUUCGAAAUAACUUCAAGACUUGUGUAUGUCAUGCAUUAAAUGCACCAUCAACAGUAUGGACAGCGGUUUGAUCUAAAUAUGUAGUUGCACUAGUUGUCAUGAACAGAUUUGAUAAUUAAACGGCCUAAUGCAGAAUUAUUAGAUCAAGAAUGGUCGAUUUGUAAUGAACAGCGCUGUAAUAGUAAAUGAUUGAUAUCGAUUGGUACCUUGAAACUUCACACUAUAUUAGUGCUAUACUGCUAUGUCCUAAUCACUGAAAGCUCAAUGUAUAUCAAAACUACUAAACAACAAAACAUUACGUCUAUUGCUACGCAAAUUGAUCGAAGAAUGUACAUUACUGCUUACUUCUUUGAGGCUUCCAACUAAUCCCUAUUUUUGUGGUUCAAAUAUAACCACAUAGAAAGAUCAGUAUGUCCAUACCCAAAUGCGCAGUGUAAUGCUCAAUCAUCGAUAUUACUAAAGCACUUGAUGGAAAUCUGCUAUUAUAUGAACUUUGAAGAACUAUCAACAAUGUGAGACAAGACUAGUUGACUAUUGUUUACAUGCCGGACUUAAUUACAGACUGAUUACAGUACAUUAGUAGAACAUGUUCUUUAUAAGACAUCCUCGACUCAGUUCAACAAAUCAAAAAAUCCGCAAUUUUUUAUCUAGUAUGACAUGGAAAAAUUGGAAGGGUAGCCCUCCAGGGUAGACAACAUGAUCAAUAUCUUAACCUCAUUUCUUAUAAAACUCGAUUACCCACGACAUAUUACAAAUGCAAACCACCUUCUUCAUACAAACAAACCCAGCUUCCUUUGCCAGAUUAUGAAAUUCUUCUUCUGUCCGCUCUUUCCCCCCGGGAUUUGUUGACAUCAUUAUAAGAUCUGAUUGGCAGAAGACUUUGGCAGCAGUAUUAGUCUCGGGCGCAACGGGUAGAAUUGCUUCCACGAUGAUCACUUUCCCAUCAUCCGGUAGUGCUUUGUAGCAGUUCUUUAGUAUAUUUACGCAAUUUUCGUCACUCCAAUCAUGCAGUAUCCACUACAAAAUGCAAAGAUGGACUUAUUUCAAAUGUUUUGGACAACUGAUCAAAUUGCACCAAUAUACACCUAACUUACCUUCAUGAACAUGGUUUCCCCUUUGGGAACACUGUCAAACAUAUUUCCUCCAAUGUGUACUACACCUGCAACAAAUUAAUCUAUCUGAUCAGAUUCCGUAUUAAUUGAAAUAAGAAACCAACCAGUAACUAGGAUGGCACAUUAUAAAACAUAUAAACCAUAAUUUAAAGGAAUUAUCAUACCAGGGUAAGUUUGUGCUUGUUCAAUCACAUGCGGCAGAUCAAAAUUAAUACCGUGAAUUGCAGUAUAUUUUGAAGUGAUUAAGCUAAUUGUCGUUCCAACUCCACCACCCACAUCAACUACCUCUUUGAGAUCCUCAAACCCUUCGUAUGUUUCUAGCAUCUUUUUAACGAAAAUUGUUGAGUAGUUGAACAUUCCUCGGUUGAAUAACUGAUCGAAUCUAGCAUCCGUUUUACCAUACUCAAACGCAUGCAUCCCAUGAGCUUUGUUGAAUGCAAUUCCCCCUUCAAGGAUUGCAUCUUUCAAGUAGCACCUGGAGGUACAUUAAACACGAAGACAUUAAUACUAUAUAUCAAUUUGCAAUAAGAAAAGGUGUUAAGAACACCGACAAAUAUGGUGCAAAAUAGUUUGCUCACCGGCUUUCCAUUAGAACCUUGUCCUGGCUGAAAAGCAGCAAUGGACACAUUGAAACUCCAUCUUCAUUCUGAACAAAAUAUUUGCAAACAGGUGCCAAACCAUACAAUCUUUCAGUGUGACCGUCCUUAUCGGUGGCAAGGGAGGAAGUGAGUAUAGAGUAGCUAGUAAGAAGACGCAGGAUUCGAUCCAGCAUAUUGUGGGCAUUAGGAUUUUUAGUAACAGGUAAAUGAGAUGCAAUUUCUUUUGGUGACAGUUGUGCAUUAGGACCUGCUUUACCUAUAAUCUCAAACAACUCAAGCUCGACUGCUACUUGCAUGGCGACUGGUAAAACUGAAGCACUUGAUAAUUGCAUCGCAUACAGAAAUUCUUCGUCUUCGUUGGAAGUUUUGCAUUGGUUGUCUAUGGAACCCAUCCUAAAGUAUGGAGGAAGCAGAUCGAAAUCAGAUUGCUUUGGUUUAUAUAACUGCUUUCAAGGAUGAUACUUGCGUAACUUCAAUAACACGAAGUGGUUCAUCACGGAUCAUCACAUUCAUAAUGAGGUAAUUAAGUUUUGGUCCAUUUUUAGAUCGAACAACAUCAUUAGCUCCUCUAUAUGAAUAUGCAAUAUCUUAUAUCUCACAAAAUUAAAAAAAAAGUCAUUAACAAAGUAGAGUGAUAGUAAUUAAAGAUUGGUUGAAUGCAGUAGAUAUGAUUAAUUACUAGCAAAUCAAGAUUGGCUAUUCACAUUGGUUAUGCAUGCAUGCAUGUUUGAAGUGAAUGGAGAGCCGAACUUAAAGCCACAAACAACAUACUCAAACCACAUAAAAUGGUUUGUCUAAUUCAACGUGAUGACCAAGGUCCAUUUGAUAUGUGGCCGAGUUUGAUUACAAGUUAGACUUAAUUUCUUUUGAUUUAUGUUUGUGGCUGAGUGUUUGACUAUGUCAUAAAUUUAACAAAGACACCAACUCAAAGUCUCAAACUACUGAUCUUAAAUUUCAUUGUUUUUUUUUUUUUUUUUUUUUUAUUAUUAUUAUUGGCAAGUGAGGUUGAGGGGACCACUACCUUUUUUAAAUUAGGUGUGAAAACUUAUAUCAACAAUCUGCUGUUGACGUGUUUCGAACCAACGAUCUCUCCACUUUGUGAGAAUGUGCUUCCAGUGAGCCACAGGCUCAUUCGCGGAAGUAAACUUUUUUAUUUACGAGUUAUGACCAAUUGGUUCGGUGCUAUUGGGUUUAGAAUGUGGACCAAUAAAACACUGCCACGUGGUUAUAGGUGUUGUCAACCUGUUGGACCAGGCCCAAACUUAAACCCUGUGCGUUAGAAAUUUGGUCGUUGAUAUUGGAAAUUGGAAUCAUGUGAGAAAUCGAAAAACUUAGUUCAUAUCGAAGAUGAACUAAUUAAGAUGCCAUAUACAGUAGAAACUCUUUAAAUUAAUACUCGGUAAAUUGAUAAUCUCCUUUAAAUAAUAUAAUUCUCCGGUCCCGACUUGGGGCUUCUUUGCUAAAUUAAUAAUUUAAACAAAAUAAUAAGAUAAUAAAUGUUAAAUAUUUCUAUGUAAUAUUCUUUAAGACCCAAAUGUUUCAUAAAUUAAUAAUAGCUUAGAUAAAUAUAAAAAAUUGAUUACAUCUUAGGUUUUCUUGAAAUAUAAAAACAUAAUGAAUAUAAGAUUGUGUUAAGUUAAUCAGUGUGUACAAUAUUUGAUUCGAUACGUUGCACUAUACGCACCUAGAUUCAAUAAGUUGAAUUAACUAAUGACUCUAGUAUUCAUUGAAAAAUUCAAUGAAGUGUUGGAUUUUUGAAUUUUGAAUUGGUCAAUAACUUUGAUCAAUAAUCUUAAUCUUUACUAGACCUUGAUAACUGAACAUGUAGUAGAAAAUAAUUUUUUACUAAAAAAAUCAAAAAAAUUAAAAUUUUGCUAUAAAUUAAUAUUAUUAAUUUAUCGAUAAAUUUAUCUCUCUCUAAGUUAAUAGAAUUAAGGUGGUCUGAAGGCUAUUAAUUUAUAAAGGUUUAACUGUAUAUGUCAAUUGCUUACUACACUAUUGACUAUUCCAUCUCAGCAGAUCAGAUUUCUUUAUUAUAAUUAUAAUGAUGAGAAUUGCAAAAAGGCAGCGCUUGAUUCAGAGUAAUCAUCAUGAGCUUCCUGAAGAAAUCAUAUGAGAUAUCUUGUCCAGACUACCUGUCCAAAGUCUCUCUCAAUGCAGGUUUGUUUCUAAAGAUUGGUAUAAUUUUAUUAAGGAUCCUGAUUUUAUUAAAUUACAUCAUUCUAGAAUUAACAAACAUGCUUCACUCUCUUCAGAUUGUCUCUUUUUUGCACUUUGCCAUCAUACCAAUAUCGUUUUUGAAAAUGAGAACAGUUUUUCAAUUUGGUAAAAAAUAACCAAAAUACGAGUAUCCAUAUUCCUUUUUUCUCCUUCAUUUAAGGCUCUUUAUGUUGGGAAAUUUUGACUUAACCCCCCCUAUUAUGACCACGUUUUAAAUAAACCCCCCCAUUUGUCCAAAUUUGGACUUUGCCCCCCCUCCGUCUGCUUCCGUCCCAAUUAAUGUUAAAAUUCAAAUUUUCUUCCCAAAAUACCCCUGUAUGCUUCUUCCUAAAAUUUUGUUACGGGUUUAUAGAAAACCCUCUCUGAUUGUGAUAAUCUUUGAGAUGACCCCCCACUUUACAGAACAAAAAAAAAUGUUUUAAAUUAAAAAUAAAAAAAUUAAUGAAGAAGAUAAAGUCUUAAACAAUUGAUUCACUCUUAAAAAUUUCAACUUGAGGGAAAAAUGUGUACAAAUUAAACUAUAUCUUAACCUUGCUUUGAGAUCCAUACUCCAUUUUACUAGUUUUUAGAUCUAGGGUUUUAAUUUCAAACUCAAAUUGGUUAAGAAACAACAAAGAAAGAAAGAAGAAGAAUGAGUAAUGAUGGGUUCAAGGAAGAAGAAGGAACAACGGUGGAGGGGAGUCCAUUUUACUAGUUUAGAUUUAGAGUUUUAGUGUCAAAAACUCAAAUGGGUUAAUAAGCAACAAAAGGAAGAGAAAAAAAGAAUAAUGGUGGGUUUAAGGUAUAGAAAAAAAAAAAAAAAAAAAAAGAGGAAGAAGAAAGAAUUAUUGGGGGGUUAAGUCUAAAAAAGUAAGGAGGGGUAUUUUGGAAAGAAAAAUUAAAGUUAGACGUUAAAUAAGACGGAAGCAGAUAUAGGGGGGUAAAAUCCAAGUUUGGACAAAUAGGGGAGUUUAUUUAAAACGUGACCAUAAUAAGGGGGUUAAGUCAAAAUUUCCCCUUUAUGUUCACUUAAACUUGCCACAACAAUCUUCACAAACUUUUAAAAUUGUUGGUUCUUCUAAUGGCCUUAUGUGUCUAUGUUUAUUACUUCAAUUAAAUGAUUUUUAUAUCUGUAAUCCUGUUACAAGAGAGAUACUGCAGCUCCCUAGAGCACCUGGUCUUGGACCAUAUUCUGAAAAGUACAACCUUGAGUAUUUGUUUCCUAUUUCAUCUGGAUUUGGUUUUCAUACAACAACUAAUACUUACAAGGUUGUGUUGGAAAUGUUUUCAAGUGGUCAAAACAUUUGUAUAUCAAUGAGAAAUUUAAGUCCCAAGUUAACCACUGGCCAUGGCUAAUUGUGUUAUAGUAGAUGAAUGGGUAUGUAUUCACAUACAUUGUAUUUGGCCCAACCCAUCCCAAUAGGUGUGUCUUUCCCCAAUAGACACAUACUUUGUAGACACUCAUUCCCAAUGGGUGUGUCUGUCCCUGUGUACAUUGUAUUGGGUCAGGUGUUUAUUCAAAUAUAAAUUGAAUAGACAUGUGCCUUUUCAAAAAAAGUGUCUUCCUACUAUAUAAGUGUAUCUUGUGUUUGUCUUCAAAUCACUUUUAAAAUCAAAUUGUUUUUCCAUCUUCUAGUGUUUGUGUUUUGCCAUGAGAGAGUAUAACAGAGAAUUGGUUCGCCGUCUUCUAUGCGUUUGAAGUGUUGUUACGCUAAGAAGGAUAGAUCGUUGUAUCCUGGGAGACAAUCCGCCAUUGAUAAACCGUUCGACACAUGUACGGGGCGAAUAGUGUCUUAAAGAAAGAGAUUUUUAUCUCGACUCGAUCUAAAUCUUGUCCCUUCAUCCAUUUAUUCUGGUUUGCAUCAUCUAUUACAUUUUAUUUAUUUUAGAACAGUAAUAUAUCGAUGUAUAUUUCCCUAAAAUCUUAAGACAUUAUCUGUUUGUGGUUUAUACUGUUCUAAUGCUUUUGUGGUGCAGCAUAUUGGUUUUCGAUUAAAUUCGAAAAUUUUGAAUUUUUUUCCCGCAUGGUACUCUCUGUAAGAGAAUAUGGAUUUUUUUUUUUGUAAGCAUUGCAGUACAUGAGCAUGAAUGCAUGACAAUGUUUAUAUAUUGCUUUUGUCGAAUUGUGAUGUUACUAUUGUUAUUUUACUCAAGUCAUGUGAGAAUUGAUAUAUGUUUUGGUUGUUGAUAUCAAUAAAUUAAUCUUAACUAUAGGCUUGUAUAUACAUAAGCAUUAGUCAUCUUGUAUAACCUUUAGUUUUUUGUGACUUUGGUUAUAAAUUGAUGAUGUUCAGACCUUGGUUUUUCUAAACGAGGUCUGUAAAGUUGAAACCCGUCCAAACAAGGUAACUGGUCGGCUGUAUCUAUUGGGCUUAACUUUUUAGGUCUGUGGUUGAGAUGAGGGAGUGAAGAGACACCUCUUUUUUUUUUUGCAAAAGCAAGCUGGGGUUAAUAAAGAAUAUAUUUACAUCCUAGGAUACAAAAUACCUUCUGCAUCCUGAGACACAAAUGUCAUCAACAGUGUUUGGGGGAAUUUCUCAUGUAAUUCUUAGGCGGGUUAGCCUUCGGGCCUGGUUCGAGAUUAGGAGGCCCAUGCUCUUAUGAUGAUGAUAUGUGGUUAGGUGUUCUCCCAUGAUGAUGAUGUGGCUAGGUGUUCUUCAGCGAAAGCAAGUCCCUGAGUAGCAGAAUUGCUCGAGUUGCAAGGUGGCGGUGUGGACACUUAGGUAGUAGCAUCAGUAGCCUUCGGGCCUUGUCUUUGUAAGCCCUUUGGGCCCUGUCUUUGUAAGCCUUCGGGCCAUGAUUAAUAUACCAAAUUAAAAAAAAAAAAAAAAAAAAAAAUGUCAUCAGUUGCCUAGGUAAAGGACAUAGAAAAAUGCAUAGUGAAUCAUCCCUACUUGGUAACCCUGCCAGGUAAUCAGCACACCUAUUUGUUUCCCGGUGGAUGUGUUGCACUGUGAAGUUUUCUAGUCCUUGCCCCAGUUGCCUUGCUUUGUUAGUUUGCCUUCUUGCCCUCCAUGCUGGGAUCAUAGUACCCUUGAUACCCUCUACAGCUUGCUUAGAGUGAGUCUUCUAAUGCCCAUGUCAAUUGCCAAUUGCAUGCCAAUAGAUAUGGCUUCCGUUUCAAUGGUUGUGACUGUUUUUUCCUUUGUACCACCACAAAAAGCCAGCAAAGUAUUGCCAGCAUGGUCUCUAAAUAUACCACCUAUCCCAGCCUUUUCUUCAGUAAGUGAUCCAUCUGUGUUAAGGCAUAUAGUCUCUUCAUCAGGUGGCUGCCAUUUAUAGUAAAGCACAGUUUGUGUUCUCCAACUGAUUUGUGCUCCUGUAUGAUGGGCAAUAAGUCUGUUCAGGGUAUUGCCUUGUACUGUUUUCCUCCUCAUCUUGAUUCACUAGUUUUGCAUAUAUGAUAUGAGCAUAAUAAUAUGGUAUACUAUUCUCAACAGAAUCUGUGAGGUUUUAUGUUUCAAUUUGUUUACUUGAUUUAACAAUGAUUUCUUCCGUAAGAAGUGAAGAUUAGAAUAGAUUAUCCAUGUUAAUUAGACAAUGACAAAGAAGUAAUUCUCGAAAUUGAUGCAUAUAUUUCUUUCAUUUCUUGAUUCACUAUUGAGCCGAAUCUAUUCAUAUUGUUGGAACUUGGAAGUGUCUCUUUUGAAGCACACUAAUUUGUUAAACAGUGUCAAUGUUUCACAUUAUUAGCAACACAAUAUUUGGGUCAUUACAAACAAUGUCUUUCAACACUUUACUACAAUGAACAAUGGGAGUACUGUUUUACUUCAUGGUUGUGAGGAUCAAGGUUACUAUGAUUUCGAAAAAGAAGAAUUCAAACAAAUUUCAAUCGAUGGAAUUCAUUGCCCUCCAUACAAAUUACAAAUUGUUGUACACCUCGGUAGUCUUAUUUCUCCUAGAAGCAUUACUUGUACAAGUGAUGUCAGUCAAGUUUCAUCAGCUAAACCAAGAAGGCAUGUUGGAUUCAGGCUACAAAGGAAUGUGAAGAAACCAUCAAGGGCAAGGCCUGUUAAUUGCUUGCAUCACUAGACCCCUGGAGUUUAUCUUGUAGGCUUGUAUUACCCCCCCUCUCUUUUUUGAUUAAUAAAAUCUCUCAUUUAUCAAAUAAUUUUUUUUUAAUGCAGGCUGUACUCAAACAUAUAAACUGUCACAAUUCUUCCUCUUCAUGAAAGUUAUCAUUAGCUCUUCUCUCAGAUACGGUCCCCUAUUUUUGCUUGUGUUUUUCCUCCUAAAAUUGAGGGUAUGGACAAAUAACAGGUCUCAGAUGUUUAAGUCCAAUGCUUGGUGUUUGUUGGAAGAAACCUUGGCAAAACAAUACAAUUAUCUAGCAGGGUUUUUGCACAUUUGUCUAUAGCGUAAGGGUGUGUAUAUACCAUGCCUAACUGAUCAGUGAGUUGCAGGGGAAGGAAGUAGCAUAUCACUUGAUCAUGCUCGUAGUACCUAUUACUCCUUUUGUUUUUGUGUUGUGUCGAAUUCGUUUAGUCACAUCCCAUUGUCAUGAUUAAGAGCACCUUUUGUGUUGGUUGCAGACUUGGAUGCGUAGGAGUGGGCCUUACUGCCCUAGUUUCCUUGUUCUGUUAACUUCGUUGUGAAAAAUGUGAGGUUAAACCACUUUGAGUCUUACCAUUAACAGAAAUCAUGAAGGUUGAAGAUAUUAUUGGCCGGUGUAAAAUGGUGAGGUAAGGGUGAAGCAUGUAAUCAGCUUGUUGAAGGAGUUUUGGCCGUGAAUGAGCUAAAUCAUUCUGUACCAGGUGAGAACAGGUCAGUUUUAUUGUGAUUGGUAUUCUAGUUUUACCCUUCAAUACCUCAAGUUCAAAAUUUUUGUAACUUAGCGAGGAUUAAGUUGCAUUGUACCUGCCUAUAGAACAAUUUAACCUAACAAAGGUUGUUUGUAAGAUUUAUCUUCCAUAAAAGCUUGCUGAAAUGAAGGAACUGGAUGCUCCAUUUUUGUACUUAGCAGUUAGCACCCUGAAUCAUAUAUGGACUGCAGUAUACCAAUAUAUGGAAAUUUUGGAAAGAACAGUACAUUUUCUUCAAGCACUUACUUAGAAAGAUGUUGUUACAGUUUAAACUUUUUUGCCUUAAUUGGCAAGUAUGCCGUUGUUAAAUAUUGGCACUGUUUGAUUGGACUACAAAUUUCUUGUUCUAAAAAUCUUUUGAUGUCUCUAUUUUCGUGUAGGUUGUUGGUCUUGUUGGAAUCCAAAAUUUGCAUCUGGAGGCAUAAGGGCUUGUGUAUGCAUUGAGUUUCACAUAUUGCUCUUAGUUACAAAAUUAAGUUUAUCUUCUAUGAAUAAGAUUUAAUGUAUGUAUGUCAAUAUGGUAAAAGAGUGAGUUACCAGUUAUUGCUCGCGCCUCAACACCUACACUUACAUAUAUUUGAUCAAAAUAAACUUUAUUCAUUCGUCGAAGUACAAAUUACAUUAAUGUUUUUCCUCGGCUUGGUGCACACAUGACAUGGAUGUGUUAUCAAUCAAUUUCUCAGACGUUAUAGAACUCCAUUUUCUUUGGUCUAUACCUUAUAGAACUCCAUGAUCCAAUAAUUGUAUAUACAACAAACUUUCUCCAUUCUAGCAAACCCAGCUCCUUUUGCCAAAGUAUGAAAUUCUUCUUCAGUCCGUUCUUUUCCUCCUGGAUUUAAAGUCAUCAUACUAACAUCUAUUUCGAAAAGGCCUUUCGCAACAGUACUAGUUUCUGCUGCAACAGGUAGAAUUACUUCCACAACGAUCAAUUUCCCUUGGUCAGGCAAUGCUUUGUACACGUUCUUCAAUACUUCUAAGCAUUUUUCGUCACUCCAAUCAUGUAGAAUCCACUUCAAGUUUAAACAAGAUUAUGAUCUAUUAGCAAAAGUGAAAUAAUACUUUGAGAAUUAAUGUAGGGGUCAUUUGAACAUACAGUAUAUCUGCGCGACUCUACAACUUUCAACUCACCUUCAUGAAAAUGACUUCCCCAGUAGGAACACUGGCAAACAUACUUCCUCCAAUAUGUUCCACACCUACAACCAAAUCCAUUUUUUUCUUCAAAUUGUUAAAUCAUGUGUGCCAUAAUUAAAAGUGGAAUCAAUUACGCUCUGUGUUACUGACAGCAAAAUACAUACCAGGGUAAGAUGGUGCCUGUGCAAUCACAUGCGGCAAAUCGAAGUUAAUACCCUUAAUUGCAGGAUAUUUUGAAGUGAUUAAGCUAAUUGUGGUUCCAACACCACCACCAACAUCGACAACCUUUUUAAGAUCGUCAAAUCCUUUGUAUGUUUCAAGCAUUGUUUUCAUAAAUAUUGUAGUGUGGUUGAACAUUCCUUUGUUGAAAACCUGGUUAAAUCUCUGGUCUACCCCAGGGUACUCGAACGCAUGCAUUCCAUGAGCCCGGCUGAAUGCAUUCCCCCCUUCAAGAACCGUAUCUUUCAAAUGGAACCUAUAUUGAACAUAAAAAAGAUGAUUACUAGUACUAAUGUGGUGGGAUAAUGGAUACAUAAAGUUCAAAAGAACAUUUGAUAAGCAUCAAAUGAUUAUUUGACUUUCAAUUACACAUGAACAAAAUUUUGAACAGAAGGUGAACUCAUAGCCUAUGGUUGUUCAAUUCUGCUGGAUACAAGUUUGUGUUUGUGCAUAGCAAAAUCUAAGUCAGAUUAAUACUACAUCGAUACAUCCCUACCAGGAAACCCUUUCCUGGAAAUACAAUAUCCCAAGACCUUUUGCACAAUAUUAAAAACAUCGAACUUUGGCAGAGCAGAGUUUAUACAAUAUGAAUAUCACAAUGGCCUAAUAUUGUAAAUUUGUGAUUGUAUCUCUCAGAACGCGUGAGAAGCUAUCAAAUUUCCUAGUUAUGACUCACCUGAGAAGCUAUCAAAAUUAAUUAUAGAACAAAUGGAAAAACAACGAUAACGGAUUAGAAUUUACCAACCAGCUAUCCAUAAAGACCUUGUCCUGAACUAAAAGAAGAAAAGGAGCAAGUGAAACUCCAUCUGCAUUCCCAAUAAAAUAUUUACAAACAGAUGCCAAACCAUACAAUCUUUGAACUAGGCCAUCUUCAUUGGGUAACAAGAGAAGAUGUCAGCACAGAGUAACUUGCAAGAACACGCAGAAUCCUGUCAAGCAUAUUCUCUGCCUCUGGAUUCUUAGUCACUAAUUGAGAUGCAAUAAUGUUUGGCGAUAGUUGUGCACCUGGGCCUGCUUUAGCUAUGAUCUCAAAAACAUCUAAUUCAAUUGCCACUUGCAUGACCAUAGGUAGAACUGAAAGUUCUGCUAAUUGCAUGGCAAAUGAAAAAUCUUCAUGUUCAUUACUGAUAGGUUUCUGAUGAUUUUCCAUUGAAGACAUGUUUGUAAAUUAUUGUAAUGGAAAGACAGACCUUUUUCAAAGCUAAAUAGUAAACUUGCAAGUAUGAUCAUUCAUUAAUAGCUUAGAUGGUUGACAUGGAAAAAAACCUACCAUAAAGUUUUAGGUAAUAUUUAAUAUUAAAAUAAAUGAAGAAACUAUAUAAAGUAUAAAAAUUCUAAGAAAAAAAUAAAGGGCAAAUUAGAAUGACCCCACAGAUUUAUUAACUUAAUUAGACUUACCCCCACAGAUUUCAACUUAUAUAGAGAAACCCCAUAGAUUUGUAACGGAUGUUAGUCAACCGUUUUGACUUGCAUUUUAACACAAGAUACCUAAAAUACCCCUCAAUUAUUAUAUCUUUUUUUAUGUUUUAUCACUUUAUGUAAUAGGUAUUGCACAUUUUGGUCAUUGUUCUAAGAAGUUCUACUUAUAAUAUGUUCAGUGGGUUUUGAGUGAUGGGGUUGUACAACUUAUGUAUUAUUUUGAUUGUUUUUAAUUAAGAAAAAAUUAAUUAAAAAUCUUUCUUUUAGUAUUUUUUGUGAUAUAUGUACAUAGAUAGGUUUUGUAGGUGUACAAGUUUAGGGUAUUUUAGGUAUAUUGUGUUAAAAUACAAGUCAAAUUUAAGUCUGACCAGGUCAAUUGACGGUUGACUAACAAUCUGUUGCAAAUCUGUGGGGUUUCUCUAAAUAAAUUGAAAUCUGUGGGGUAAGUCUAAUUAAAUUGAUAAAUCUGUGGGGUAAGUCUAAUUUACUAAAUAUAUAUAUAUAUAUAUAAAUUGAAAAGCAUGGGCGGCAAACUUUUUAUGUUUGUUUAUAUAUUUUUGAAGAAAGCAUCUUAAUUUGGUGAAUUGCUGAAUGCUAAUGCUCCUGAUGAUACAUAAACAGAAAUAAUUUAAUGGUUGGGACUUUGGAAUCAUAGGGAACAUAAUUCACAGCCUAAAUUUAUGCUUAAAUGUAACUUAUAAGUUAUAAUAUAAUAUAGUUUCAAAUCAUAUCAAACAAAAUCCCCGAGUUGUUGUUAAAUGACUUAAAUCAUAUCAAGCAGAUGUCAUACAAUGAUAUGGGUACCAACAAUGAAACAAAUUAUAUUAAAAGUGUUGGAAAACAAAUAAUGUGUUGAUUACAAGCUAAUCAAAACACUAGUUGCACGUCAGCGCACAACCUAAUUAGGUCAAGUUCACAAGUUCAAUAUUUUUUAUAGAACUCGAUUACCGGUUGAUUAUAUAUUAUAAUGAUGUGUUCUUCGAUCCCUUAAUAAAGUUUGAUGAUGUGUUUGAAAGAUUCUUCUGCAGUGGCAUUAAUCUCUACUUGAACAGAUUCAAAUACUUCCUCCACAACAAACAGUUUUCCGGUCAUGAUCUGGAAGUGCUUUGUUGUAAUAUUCGUCGUUCCAAUGCAAAAUCAUAUUGUAUAAUUAGUAGUAACAAUGAUACUUGAUAUUUUAAACAUUUUGGGUUUGUAGGGCAAGUAAUUAAUAGAUUUCCAGUUUUCCACACUCCACACCUGCAACUCUGCAAGAAACAUAUCUCCGACUCCUCGCAUCAUUCCAUGUGUUCCACACCUGCAACUUUUAUAUAAAGAUCUGAUCUGAUCGUAGGCCCUAUUGAAAUAAUUUGAAUACAAUGCAAAAUUCAAAAUAAUUAUUGUAGUAGCGUGCUUGUCUGCCUUUAUAUUUUAAAUAUUAAUUUUAUUUUUACAAUGGGACAAUAAUUAAAAUCUUUUUGUAGAUAACAUUGAAACUCCAUCAUCUUUUUGAAUAAAAUAUUUGCAAACAGGCCAAACCAUACAAUCAUUCAAUUUGGGCAUUGUCAUGAGUGACAGACUUGCUUGCAAUAAUGCGUAGAAUUCGAUCAAGCAUAACAACCGCAUUUGGAUUUUAAGUUGGUAAGUGAGAUAUAUAGUAUAUAAAAUGUCUUUGGCGAUAGUUUUUCGCAACAAGUUAGGGAGCUCCGGACCUAGGCUGCUCAUUAUGCAGCCUGUACCCAAAACCAUUUUCAAGGUCGUAUCCCAAAGGAGAAAGUGUAGAGUAGGACUCGAAAUCAGCAGUGCAUUGGGAGGACACACCUGCAACCGCAGGUAGGGUUAGCCACUCUGUUCCAACCCGAAUGAAAUGAGGUUUUCCUUCUGCACCACUCACCAGUUCAUUUCCGUACAAUUUUUGUAUUGGUUUUGAACUUGCAUCUUGGAAUGGAUGGGUGUUUUUUUUUUUUUUUUCUAGAAUAUUCCUUACUUUCGUGCAAAAUGCUAUCUGCCCAUUUUUGGCUAUUUUGCUCUAAUUUUCACUUCGAAAAAAAUUGGAAACACCCCUCUCAUGUCUCAUCUGAUUUUCUGCAAGUUUUCAGAAUAAGGUAAGCAAACACAGUCUUUGUAGGUUGGGACUGGGGGACUUGAGCUUGAGGUAUAAGUAUAUAACCAAUUCACAAUUCAGUAUUAUAUAUGUAGGUAAUUUGCUAUUAAAUACGUUGAAUCUUGAACAAAAAAAAAAAAAAAAAGAAAGAAAAAAGAAAAAGGAUAUAUUGAGAUAUUUUUCCGUAUUAAUUUUUUUAUUAAUCUCGGAAUCGGAGGCUCUUCAUUCUUCUUGUCCAUGUACAGGUAAGGCCAGUCUUGGCCAAUAAAGAAAAAGAUUGUAACAAAGUUAUAAACAAGAAAAGGAAAACACAAAACAAUUUUGACCCUCCUUUAAUAUCAUUACUUGCCUCUUCUGUAAUUGUCUCUAAUGUUGGUGAAUUUGAAGACCUUUUCCUAUGAGUCAUAAGCCUGGCUGGAUGAACUUCAAUCCAAGAAUCCAAAUAUCUGACAUGCUUUCCCAUAUUCACAAAGGUUGAUAGCUUUAUACACAGAUCUCUCAAUUCCUUUUUCUUGUCAGAAGAAUAAUGAGAGAUGGUGGGCUGGAUUCUUGACAAACUCUUGACCAAAGAUUACUUUUAAGCUUUUUACAGGAAUUUGAUUGAGAAUGCUAGAGAAGUUUUAUUAAUUGAUUGAGAAUGUCAAACAAAGGUGCCUUGUUAUAUAGUGCAUAUUUUGUCCAAAUGUGGAGCAUAAGGGAGGUUAAGAAGUCAAGAUAAGUUUACAGCAAAGAUUGGUUGGCAGGUUUGAAAAUAAGUUAGAACUUGUUGUUUGUGAGGAUAUCUAGUGGUUUAUUUUCCUGUAAUAGUGGUAGAAACAUUCUAAUGCACAUUUUUAACACACAUAUUUAUGGUCUUUGCCCAUCUUAGAGUCCUUCUAGAUUUUUUUUUCUAUCUAUCUCUGGCAAGAUUUGGUUUAUGAAUAACGAUAGAAGUGUUCGCAUUUCAACUAACUCUGGCAAUAUAUGGUAGGGUGAAGUUUGACCUUAAUGCUUCCUAUGUUGAAACUUGAAACUAGUAAGCAAAACUUUGUUCUGUUGCUCCGAAAGAAAUUAAGCGCACUCUUCAAGAAAUACAUAUUAAUAUCAAAGUUAAGAAGAAAAAAAAUCCACUGAAUUAACAGAAAGAAAACGCAACUUCUUAGGCAGAAUGGAUCACCAACUCUAGAGUGUCUUCAUCUGCAGAUUUCUUUAUUCGAUCAGCUGCUUUCUCAACCUACAAAAGUAUAUUCGAUCGAUCAAAUUAUGUAUUUUAUUCACAAGACAUAUUGUUGAACAUUAUAUUAAUCAGAUAAGAAAAAAUAUAGACAUAAACCUUACCUCUUUAUCCCAGUUAGUCCUAACAGUUAAGAUAAUGAGGGUUACUGUUUGUAGUGCAACUCCAAGUAUCAUUCCCCACCAAAUUCCCUGAGAAUAAUAUCAUGUAUGAAACAACUAGCUAAAGGUUGCAAAGUUCCAGAUUAAUUUUUAUUGGACUAAGAUCUAUGGAAAUGCUUGAAAAAAAAAAAGAGUACUUACUUCUACUCCUAAAUUGGUUUUGAAGCCUAGAACACAUCCAACAGGUAGACCAAUAAUGUAGUAAGUACUAAGGUUAACAUAUGCUACCAAAGCUUGCCAUCCACUUCCAAUAGCCACACCUUCAUUUUCAAAAUAACCAAAUUAAUCAUCCUUUUGUAUUACUUUGGAAUAUAAUAACACAAUGUACCUGAAAGAAUUGGUUGAAUUCCAUUCAAGAACACUGAGAUUGCAAGCAAUGGAGUCAAUUCUGAAACUGCUUCAAUGACUGCUUCAAUACUAGUAUAUGCUUCACUUAAGCUGGUGCGGAAUAUUAAUACAAAUGCACUAAAAACUAAACUGAUUAAGAUACUGGUUGUGCAGACAACUUUAACUGAGAACUUUGCGACCCUUGGAUGAGCGGCACCAAGCUCAUUACCAACUCGAAUACUACGAAAGAUAAAUUACAUGUAGACAAUUAGAAUGAGAUUACUCAAUGCAUGAUCAAACCAUAACAGAGGAAAAUUAGAAUAAUGUCAUCAAGUGUUACUGACCUUGCCCCAGUACUUAGUCCCAACAUGAAAUUUAUAUCCAAAUUCAAGUAAUUCAAGCUGAAAUGUGCAAAAGUAACACAAGUUUGUCAACAACACUAAACAUUAGAAUGAAAAUCUUGAUUUCAAGGUAGUACUACAAGGGGGAGGGGGGGUUUCAAGUGUACCAACCAUAUGGAAAUAGAGUCAAGUGAGAUUGUAGGAUUAGGUAAGAGUCCUGAUAUAAGCACAAGUCCUUGGUUAUACCAUAUCUCCAAGCUGAUUCAAUACAAAUUUGUUCAGAAUCCUUGCAGUUAAAAAUAUUUUACCACAGGGUAAAAGCAGAGGAUUAACAAUAUUUACCAUAGCAUAACAGCAGAUGCAGCAGUCAGCUUGAAAUAAGGCCAUAACCCCUUGAAAGCCUUAACAGAAAAGCCAGUCCAAGUUUCUUUACAAGAUGGGCUUACAAGUAUAUAAAGCCCAGUAACUAGCACUAAAAGCCACCAAGAAAAACUCAGUACAAGAGCUGCUCCAAGAAGUCCAUAGGUUAACACAUCCACAGCUAACCAAGUGAGAAGUACAUGUAGAAGCAAGAUCCCAGCAGAAAUACAAGCUAAGGGGUUCACAAUGUUCUGUGCUUGCAAGAAUCUUUGCAUUGGACAAUAUAUUGCAAAAGCAUAAAGUUGAGGAAGUAAGCCUCUUGCAAAUGUUUGGCCUUGUUUUGCUAUACUUGAAGAUUGACCAAUUGCUUUUAAGAAUGCUUCUGAGAACCAAUAUAAGAAAGUAAGGAUAAAUGCUGCUCCUAAAUGCAGAAUUAUGGCUUUCUGACAAAUAAUUCCAAGUGAGGCAUACUUCUUGGCUCCAUAUGCUUGCCCACAGACAGUUUGAACAGCACUAGCCAUGCCCAACUAGAGAAAAAACAUCAAAAAUAGUUAGAUAAAUUGAUCAACGCGCAAAAACUCAUUGAAUGGCAAUACAGAAACUUUUCAUAUGUAGUACUAAUUCUCAAGAUAGUAUGAACAACAUAUAUACCAUGAUUCCAUAAGCAAGUCCUUGAAUUCCAACACUAGCUAUUGAAGCACCAGCAAGUUCCAAAACACCUAAGUGCCCAACAAACAUCUGAGUAAUCAAACUAAGCAAAAAAUUGCAGAUUGCAACAAGAAUCGAAGCACCAGAAAGGAGCCAUAAUACUCUAGACUCCCAAGCCACAAGACUGAGCCAAUAUCUAUAGCUUUUGCUUUUGUUAUCUGCAAGAAACUCUUCAAUUGCAUCAGAUGACUGCCCACCAAGACCAAGUUGCGAAUCAUGAUUUUUCAGUGUCAACAAAGGCUCAGUAGAAUCACCAUUUUCAUCCAUGAUGAUUCACAAGUUUUUGUUUCUAUUUUUUUUGUCACUCAUGAUUCUCACUCAUUCAUAUAGUUUCACUACCAAUAUUUUUGUUGUUUUGAAGUCUAGUAUGGUUACCACAAUGUGUGUAUCUUCUAUUCUACUAUUCUAGAAUAACAGGACAGUUAGGUCAAGCUACUACGUGGUCAUGCAUGCCACCUAAUUUCUAAAAGAAGUUUAAAUGAUCAAAAUUAGAAUCCAAAUAAUUGCAUUUCACCCUUAUCUUGGGUACAGUAAUCUUGGCACUACAUAUAAUAUGCAGAGCUUAACUGCAAUAAGGCCAUUUUUUUUUUUUUUUUAUUUUUUUGAAAAUGUUGCUUUCCAAUCUUGUAAUAUUGAAAAUAUUUACAAACUGCGAAUUGUUUUGCAGUUGAACCCUUAAUUAGUUAAUUAGCUUUUUUGCACCUCAAAUUAAUAGUUUUUCAUAGGCAGGUUUCCAAUAUGUAAAUUGGUAUAAAAGAACAGAAAGCAAAUUAAAUAUGCAAUUUAUGAGGAAAUACAUUACAAUUUACAAAACAAUGAAACAUUUUCUAUGUAGAAACCCUUAUUAGAAAUUUUAAAUUUCAAACAAACAACUAGAGAUUAAUAAGAACAUGUUGCCAUAAUCCGAUCCUAAACGUAUCCUUAAUUAAGCCCAUUUGGCCAUAAGUGCCAUGCCACCAGCACCAAGAAGAACUGCAACAUAACACUUGAGCUGUAGCUUUAUACUUCCUUGCAACUUUGGUCCCAUGAAAUCUUGAGCUAAAAGAUCUACCAUUGCCAUAUAGAUUAGUAGUCCAGCUGAUGAAGCAUUUAAUAGUCCUUCUAUGAUCAAAGAGUUUGGACUAUUCUCUUUAUAAACAUUUGAUAACAUAAUUCCAAUAACAAUCCCAAAUGGUGUUGUUGCAGAGAAAAAGAACACCAUUAUAGCUUUCUUCAAAAACUUGAACUCAGCCUGAAAUAAAAACAUGUAUAAGAUCAAGCAAAAAAGGUUCAUACUUCAUACAUAAGAGCCAAUCGAUUCGAGGCAAACUAAACCAAAUCAGUGUUAAGAAAAUAUGUUUACCUGAAGUAUGCUACCACCUAAGCCCAUUCCUUCAAACAUUUGAUGGAAGCAUAGAGCAGCAACUAAAGGCUUUAUGGUGCAAGUAUUCAUUGAGGCUCCUAGUGAAAGACCUAUAACCACUGAAUGCACAACAAUUCCUAGUUCCAGAACCUGCAAUAAAUUAAACAUUGUUUUUAAGAAUUUCGUGACACGGUGUUUUACAUAGUUUUUUUAAGCACAUUCAUUUUAGAAAUAAAAUAAUGUCCAAAAAUAUAGUAAUGUAGGAUGACAACAUUUUAAUGAAAUAAUCAUGUCAACAUUUUCAGUUUUAAAUGGACUAAAUAUUAAAUGAUCUGUAUUGAGGAGAAUAAAAUUCAAAACUAACCAUAGCAAUGACGCGAUACCGCAGCAAUUUUGUUUCAGCAUCUUCAACCAUUGGACCAUGAGAAUGUGAAUGAGCAUGUCCAUGGAAAUGCAUGACAUUAUCAUUUUUGGUUACACCCAUUUCAGAAUCAUUAAGAACAACUGCACCAUUUGGUUGAUCUGAACCUGAAACAGAUCGGCUUUUCCGGCUACCAAAACUUGUGAAUAUUGAGUCUACCAUUAAUGUUAAAAUAGCAGACAACAUAGCAACAAAUCCAGGGAAUGGAAACUUAUGCCAUGGAUCUUCAGGCAAACAACUUGAUGACAACAUAUCAAAUGAAUCUGGUAAAACAUGCAUGAAACCUGUUGAAAGAAUUAUACCAGACGCAAAAGCUUUUACGAUCAUAAAAAUAUCUUUAUCAGGAUGUAGAGAUGGAAUUGAACGUGUGAUUAGUGGUAAACAAACACCAAUCAUACUUGUUACCAAUAUAGCAGCAAAUGCUAUCCACUUAAGUGUCAAGGCAUAUGAUUUAUUCACACAAUGACUCUCUGAUGCUUCUGCUUCACAUUCUUCAGAAAUAACUUGAGUUGAAAAUAUUGAAAUGAGUAAGAAGAAGGUGAAGAGAAUGGUUUGGAGGUUUUUUGAAGUAGUAGCCAUUGAUCAAUUGAAAUUUGAUUUUUGAAUAGUGACUUAAUUUCUUCUCAAUAUCUUCAAUCAAUCAAAUGGUUACAUUUGAUUUAUACUUGAAGAAUUUAAUUGAAAUGGAUGGUUUCGAGGGACAUGUGGUUUACAUGUAGGUUAAUUUCAAUGGUAGUAUGACAUGUAAUGUGUAUAAAUUAAUAUGGAUGGUAAGGUGGGAAAUAUUUUCUUGAAGUUUACCAUAAGUAUGUUGUGCUUGUGUUAUACACAUUCCAUAGCACAUCUUAACACGAUUUUGCACUUUGUACACGGAUGACUGGGCUUCAACUUAUUGAGGUAAAAAUGUGUGCAUUAAGGUAAGGAGUGUGUUUGAUAAUUGAUGUAUGGUUGGAACUUGGAAGAUUUAUUUCAUUGAAUGAGCACAUUAUAAAUCACCAUUCAAUACUAAUUUGACUGUUUUAUUAGCUGUAGCUUGUUAUGCAUAUGGAUUGCUUGUGUUUUUAAGGAAGUUUCUCAGAGAUAACUUACUAAUUCACAGUACCCAAAUUGGUUGGUUGAUCACUACAGAAAACUGAACCACAUUGCAUCAACUUAUUACAGUAGUUCACAUCCAAGAUGUGUAUGAUUCUACCAAAAAAUCCUAGAUGUGCAUGAGUGUAUCCUGUUUUUUUUUUUUUUUUUUUGGUGAUAAAUUAGAGAUUUUAUUGAUAAUCAAGGGACAAUAGCAUAAUCGGAUGAUGGAGGCUAAGGGAAUUUGUAUCAAUACAUUUCAAUUUGAUUGAUUAUCCAAUAGUCGAGCUAGGCAGUCAUCGUUCAUGUCCAAAAUGUCAAGUGUCUUCCGCCAAAUUUUAAAACAUGAAUCCAUGUCCUCCGCUUUUGGUGACAUUUUACCUGGUUCACAGGUACAUGAGCAGUAGGGAUGUAGAGGGAGGCUACCACAAUGUAUAUCAACCGGAAUACCGGAUAACUGGUAAGCACAUACCUAACCAAACACGAAAGUGAACUUUACCACUCUUCCAACUUGGUCACGAGCCGCACACACACUUAGGCCCACAGUCACCAAGUUCUUUGUCACAUUAUCACUAGUGGCACAUAAAAUAACACUCCUUGCACCUAUAACAUUUUUUGUAGAAAUAUAACAUGUUAGUACACCAUAUAUAUAUCUAGGGUAUGUUUGAUUGGGAAAUCUGUUUUCCGGGAAAUAAAUUUUUAUGCACAGAAGAGUAAUUUCACAAAAGUAACAAAGAGAAUUGAAAACCCCUUCCUUGGUGUCUUUCUUCCUCCGCCCCUAAGUUAUAAGAUACAAGUAUGACACAGUAUAGUUUGGUUACAAAUAGACAGUUCCUUUAAAGAUGAAGAAAUUCUCGUUCAUCUUAAUGAUAAUUUUUGGUUACAACUUAUACAAACUGAAUAUAAUAGGAGUAAUUAAAAUUUAAAAAGUUUUUCCAUUUCAAACAUUGACAGAAAAAAUAGUUGCAAGGUGGCGGUGUGAAUGCUUAACAAAGUUUAAUUUAUAGAAAAUAAGAUUUAAGGUAGCAUCAGUAGCAGUCACUGAAUGAUGAGUCUCAACGAAUUGAAUGUCCAGAUGUAUCCUUAUUGAAAUUGCUUUAAGUUCGUUCGAAUACAAUUUUGAACUUUCUUCAAAGAGACAAGCUUUGGAAAAGGCACAUUAGCAAACCAAACAAAUUUUCUACUCAUUGGAUGGCCAGCCAAAAAAGGGGUUCGAUAACUACUCUAUAGUGAAACGAUAUUCGGUUAUCACCAUCAUGAAAUGAAAUGCAUGCUCCAAAGCCCAAAGAUAAAUCCACAAACCCAAUUAGCCUGAUUUUAGUGGAAUGGAGGCCCAAUACGUUGAUCCGGCCCGUUUUCUUCUUUCUUCUCUGUUAUAAUCUCUUUAACAUAAACCCUGUGCAGUACUGCAGUAUUUCUUCUCUCUCUCUCUCUCCAGACCUCUUGUUGUCUAGAAUUGAAACGAAGUUUCUCAAUUUCUUAUAGAAAGGUAUGUUCUUUCAACUACUCAAUAUCAAUUAAUCACUUAUUGGUUUUUUUUUUUUUUUUUUUUUUUGUAUUGAGUAUGCAUGUGUUGGUUAAUGCUUGUUUGACCUAAUUGAUGAUAACUACUAUUAUUAUUAUAUACACACAUAACUGAGUACCCAGAAUACUUUAAAUUAGUAAUUUUAAUAUAUGUUUUGAUCCUUCUGAGCAUGAAGUAUUGAAGUUGGUAGCAGAAAAGGUUUAAUUAGGGGGUUUCAAUGGUUUCAUAACUGGUCAAAAUUUAGUAACAAUCUCAUGCUUGGAAUGUAUUUAUUACAGGGUUUGAACCUGUUGUGGGUCAUCACUUGUUUUGACACUAUUAUGUUGGGUAAAUUACAUGAGGCUCUCCUUCUCAUCACUAUGUCGCACACCUCGUAUUACAGCUAUAGAGCAGAAAACCAUGUCACUUGUUCAAAACUCAACCAAACUUGAUCAUCUAUAUCAGAUACAUGGGUUUAUGCACAAAACCGCUCUCAAUGAAAAUAAUUUCAUUUUAGCCAAGUUAUUGCGACAAUUGUUUUCCAUGUGCUCUACGUUAAAGAAUUUGCAAUAUGCUCGUUCCAUUUUCGAUCAAAUCCCAUCCCCAGAUACUUUUAUAUGGAAUACUAUGAUCCGAGCUUACUUAAAUGUCCCACACACUCAAGAGUCAAUGUAUCUCUUCUUCCGAAUGCGUCUUCGAGAAGGCGUCUUUGUUGAUAGUUUUAGCCUUUCUUUGGCUCUUCAAGCAUGUGGACGAUCUGUAGAUGAUCGAAGUGGUAAAAGGGUGCAUACCCUUGCUGUUAAACUUGGCUUUGGUUUGGAUUUGUUUGUGCAAACAGCUCUCAUUGAGAUGUAUGCAAAGCUUGGUACUGUUGAAUCUGCAAGGAGUAUUUUGAAUGAAAUGGUUCAACCAGAUAUGGUUUCAUAUAAUGUUUUGCUAGCUGAGUACGUCAGAGUUGGGGAAAUCGAUUUAGCCCGUCGUUUAUUUGAUGAGAUGCCUGCAAGGGAUGUGGUUUCUUGGAAUACCAUGAUUCAUGGAUAUGCGACAUGUGGUAAUGUGGGGGUUGCUAGGCAAUUGUUUGAUAUGAGUUGUGAGAGAGAUCUGGUCUCUUGGAGCUCAAUGAUAGCAGGCUAUGCUAGAAGCAGGCAAUCUAACGAGGCAUUGAUGUUAUUUCAUGACAUGCAGUUAGCUAAUGUGAAACCUGAUGGUGUAACCAUGGUUAGUAUAUUGUCUGCCUGUGGUGAUAUGGGUGCCUUGGGCAUGGGUAAUAUUGUCUACGAGUAUAUAGAGAGGAAUCAAAUUGAGGUAGAUGUGAAACUCGGGACUUCCCUUGUGGACAUGUACGCAAAGUGUGGGGAUAUAGAUAAUUCCCUUAAAAUCUUUAAUAAGAUGAAUGUGAAAGAUGUUUUGAGUUGGAGUGCCAUGAUUAUGGGACUUGCUAACCACGGAUUUGGGGAGCUUGCACUUGAUCAUUUCUCCAAGAUGGUAUCAGAAGGAACUAAACCCAAUGAGAUCACCUUUGUUGGUGCACUAAGUGCAUGCAGCCAUGUGGGUCUCGUUGACAGGGGGUGGAAAUACUUCACAUCAAUGAAUGAUAUCUAUGGUAUCACUCCGAAGAUUGAGCACUAUGGAUGCAUGAUUGACCUUUUGGGUCGAACAGGGCACCUUGAAGAGGCAAGGGAGCUUAUAAGAAAUAUGCCCUUCCCCCCAGAUGCCAUUAUUUGGCGGACCCUCCUCAGUGCAUGUAGAAUCCACAAGAACGUGGAGGUAGCAGAAGAAGCUACAGUUAAUCUUCUUGAACUGGAACCUCAUGUAGAUGGUAAUUAUGUGCUUUUGUCAAACAUAUACACUCAAAAUAAGAAAUGGGACGAUGUUGCGAGUGUCCGGAGGAGGAUGAGAGAUGAAAGCAUCCAUAAGAUCCCUGGGAGUAGUUCUAUUGAAGUUGAUAAUGUCGUUUAUGAGUUCAUUGCUGGUGAUAGGUCACAUCCCAUGUCAAGGGAGAUAUAUGAAAUGAUAGCCGAGAUGACUGGUCGGUUGAAUCUCGCUGGAUACAAACCAUUGGUAUCAGUAGUUCUGCAAGAUAUGAAUGAGCAAGCAAAAGAACAUGGGUUGGCUUGUCACAGUGAGAAACUGGCACUUGCUUUUGGUCUACUGAGCACUGCUCCUCGAUCUCAAAUUUGUAUUGUAAAGAAUCUCCGAGUCUGUGAGGAUUGUCAUUUGGCAUUCAAACGUCUAGCUGUAAUCUAUGAACGGAAGAUAAUUGUUAGAGAUCGUACCCGUUUUCAUCAUUUUUUUGGAGGGUCUUGCACUUGUAGGGACUUUUGGUGAAAGAGCAUCUAACUUAUACCCAUUAGUAUCUUGAUAAAAUGUUUUUGUCCUAUCUGGAAAUCUUUUCCUUAGCAUAAAGCCUGAAUUUUUCCAUCUAGUUCUGGAGUAGAAUAUAGCUGGUGGUGUACUGGUGUGCGCUAAUCCUGCAUCAAUGUUAGAGUUUUAAGUUGAUUACUUGGAUAGCACAGAAAAUCAGCUGCUAAUUGGGACCAAGCAAUGUGUGAAGAAUUGGGUUGGAGCAGGGUUUUCCGUAAUGAAGCUUUGACCAAAUAAAAACAUACAGUAUUGUGCUUAAAAGUAUAUCACAAAACUUCAGGAAUAGUAAUCUCAACCUUAGAAAUUGAAUCUAUGUAUAUGAUAUAUGAUUUUUAAUAGUUGUGCUUCACGAUGGCUUUUGCAGUUUUGCUAUAUGCAAUAAGUCCAUAGCGACUUAUUUAUUAGACUUCUCUAACAAGUUUCUUUAAACUUUACUUUCAGUUCUAAUCUUGAAGAAGGCAUAAUGUUUUAUCUCAGCAAAAUUGAACAUACCUUGCGGUUGCCUCCCCAUCUUCUUGAUCGGGAUCUUGAUCAAGCUAUUAAGGGAGAGCUUGAGAAUCUUUUCGUGGAUAAGGUUAAAUAGUAGUCAACUCAGCUUUCUUCAUGUUAUUGACUUUUUGUAAUUUGUUGUACGUUGCUUUAAGUAAUUACAAAGUUGGGGAUUUUGCGUGAUUGUUUUGGUGAAGGUAAUUGCAAAGUUGGGGCUUUGUGUGUCCGUUUACGAUAUUACAAACAUUAGUGGUGGGUUCAUCUUUCCAGGAGAUGGUGCUUCAACUUUUACGGUAUGUGUAUAUUUAUGUCACUUCAUUCACUUAAGCAGGUCCGUCUUUUGAAUACUAUUUUUUCAUAUACUAAAAGGAUUUUCUGGUCUUAUAACAGGCUGAAUUUAGAUUGAUUAUGUUCCGUCCAUUUGUGGGGGAAAUACUAUCUGGUGAGGUUGAAGAAUCUGAUGCUAAUGGAUUGCGCUGUAAGUUUUACAACUGCCUUUCCACUUGCUUGAUUUUUGAAGUCUAGUAAAGUUAUUAUUUUUAUUCCGAAGGUACCCAUACCCACACUGAUAUAGUGAUAUGGGUUGUUCAGUUGGAAUGUAAAAUGGAAAUUGGAGACAAGAUAGUUGAAAGAAAAAAAAAACAAAAUUAUGGAUUCUGCGUUAAUAAAGUUAUGGAGUUAUGAGAAAACAAAAAACAAAUGGAUUAACAAUACAACAUAGUGUGCUCUAUCUUCCAGUGCCUAGGUUCCGUUUCAAGCAGAUAGGAAGCCCUAAAACCUUUUCUCAGCGAGACAUACAGUUUCAUUUCUCUAACAAGAAAAAGUUUUUGACAUUCAAUUUGGCUUCAAUAUUUAUAAGUUGUCAGGUUGUUAGGUUUGCUCAGCCGAUCCAAUAGGUCUUAUGUCGUAUCAUCAUAAUUGAGCACUCAAUUUCACCUGGCAUAUAUUUUCGUGUGCCAGCUUUAACUAUUAGCAUGCCCUUUGUCAUGUUUCAAUUUAGGGAACUGCCUUUAAUUUGCUUUUUUGCCAUACUUUUUAUAUUAAACAUUAAAAUUGCUUACUAUAAUAAAUGAUAUACACAUAUUUAAUUUAUUCAAUGUGGGUUUUCUUGUGAAAAUCUUGUGAGAGCUUUCUCAUAAUGUGGGCUGCGUUUAACUUAUAAUUUGACAUUAUUGUGUUAAUUGUUGCAUUCUAAAAGUCUAAUGACUCUAUCUAAUGUGGCAGUGUCUCUAGGUUUUUUCAAGGACAUAAUGUUACCUGUCCAUCUUUUGCCCAAUCCAUCUAAAUUGUAAGAAUCCAUGCCUGCGCUAAUUUGAGAGCUUAAUUAUUAUUUCAGUAGGAUUUUAACUAUGUCUAUAAACUGAUCUUAUUCUUCUUAUGAAAAAUGCAGCGCAGAUGGCAGAUGGACCUGGGACUAUGGAGGUGUAGAAUUGCCUAUUGAAAAGGAAGAGGAGGUUUUUCAUUGCUCUCAUAUUUUACAAUUUGAUGGAUAUGGUACAUUGGUACUUGAAAAACAAGAGUGCUAAUUGACUUCUGUGGUUCAAUCACAGAUUCGUUUCCGAGUUCAUAGUAUUAAUUAUCCUCCUAUCCCUGUUGAGCAAGAAAAAGACGCCAAACCUUUUGCUCCUAUGGUGAUUACUGUAAGUAUUUAGCAUUUGUUUUGGAAGACAUUCACUCCUUGUUGAAACCUUUUAUUCGUUUUACUACUCAUGUUGUUAGGAAGCAGUUAAUUGACUACGAUGGUUUACAUUUAUGUGAAGCCUCUGAAACUAAUCAUGUUUAAAUUUGUUGGCAGGCAUCAAUUGACUAUGAUGGUUUAGGCCCCACUUCAUGGUGGGUAUAGAGGAGCAUUUUCACAAAAGUAUUGCAGGAUUUUUUGCUUCGUAUUUCUGCUUUUUGAAUUCAGAGGAGCAUGUAUCUGAAGUAGCUAUAGAAACUAAUUUCUUCCUUUGUAUUUGUACAAGAGUCGAUGCAAAUAAUGAGCUUAUUUUUCACGAGUCAAUUUGGAUACUUCCCAGAUUACCUUUUUUUUUUUUUGAUAGAACUUCCCAGAUUACUUUAAAUUCAUUCUAUUAUAAUCUUAAAUUCAAAACAAUUUCUGCUUCUUCUUCUACAAACCCCUCCGCUAACUUCAAUUACUUCUUCUACCUCUUCAAUUCCAUCGACUUCCUCUUCUUUAUCAAAAAAAAAAAAAAAAAAAAAUCAACUUCCUCUUGAAGGGGUUUUAUUGAUUUGGAAGGAAGAGAACAAAAUGGGUAUCAACUUAUUACAGUCCUUCACAACCAAGAUGUGUAUUAUUCUACCAAAAAUCCUAGAUAAAUUAGAGAUUUUAUUGAUAAUCAGAAUAAAAGAGAAUACAAUCCUGAAUCUAGAUCAGCAUGCUCAAAGAGCAUCUUCAAAACUAUGUCUGACAGUAUGAGUUUAUUAUGUAUCAAACUAUAGACCCUGCAAGGGGCAAUGGCAUAAUUGGAGGAUGGAGGCUAAGGGAACUUGUAUCAAUACCUUUCAAUUUGAUUGAUUAUCCAAUAGUCGAGCUAGGUAGUCAUCCUUCAUGUCCAAAAUGUCCAGCGUCUUUUGCCAAAUUUCAAAACAUGAAUCCAUGUCCUCUGCUUUUGGUGACACUUUACCUGGUUCACAGGUACAUGAGUAGUAGGCAAAUCCCUUAACCAAGUUCUUUGUCACACUAUCACUUGUGGCACAUAAAAUAACACUCCUUGCACCUAUAACAAUUUUUGCAGAAAUAUAACAUGUUAGUACACCAUAUAUAUAUACAUUACGGUUGGUCGAGCGAUCUUAGUAUAAUUGCUGAAGCAAAACCACUGAUGGUGCGGUACGAUUGUGAUCACGAUCACUCAAUAGGAUAUCAACUAAUUACCUUCUGUACCAUCAAACAUAAAAACUAAGUUCAUCCUCGCGCCAGCAUUCUGAAAAAUAAUUUUGAAAACAAAUUAGUUAUAUCAAAUCAAAUAUAAUACAUGCAUUGUACUAUAAUCUAGAAACUGUUAUCGAUUUUGUUCAAAUUAUAACUAACCAAGUUGGUGCAGACUGCCCCUGGGUGUACUGCAAAACACUGCAUGGAGGUCUGCUUUUGGCCCAAAAGCUUGCCAGCAAGAACCUUGAGGAACAUAAUCUGGGAUCCGAGUAAGAAAAAAGAAAUAUCAAAUACCUAUGAAAAAGAAUGUAAUAAUAGCCUAGACAAAACUGUAUGACUUGGGGAAGUUUAUGUACAUGUGCAAGUUUGCUGGAUCCAUAUGCUAUCAUGCUGUUGUAUUUUCCUUCUUCAAUCCUGCUAUUCCAGUAUUGAGGUUCCACCACUCCAGAAUAGUGACCCUACAUGAAAAUUAAUGGAAAUUUAAACAAAAUAAAUCGCAAAAAACACGUUUUAAUUACCAGUAAAUAUGUCAUUUGAUAUAAGAGGAUUUCUUAUCGAUGUAAACUUACCACAGAGGAAACAUUGAUUAUGCGUGGUGACGGAGCUUUGCGUAAGGAUGUUAACAAAAGAAGGGUUAGGAGUGCUGGUGCAACAUGGUUCACUUGCAUGUGUUCCUCAAUUCCAUCACCAGUAAACCUUUGUGCAUCUACAAAUUCCGAAAUCAAACUCUAUAAACAUAGAGAUCAACGGAACGUAUACAUUUCCAAGUAUAUAAUCAUACAUGAAAUUAGUUCAUUUUUUCCCCACCGAAAAGUUAUGCCCCAAUGCUGGUUAUGUUGAGAACAAUAUCUGUACUAGCUAGAUACAUGGCGCUUAAUUAAUUGGUUCUGCGUACCUUCAAUUUUAAGGAUUCCAGCAUUGUUGAUUAGGAUAUCUAAUGGCUCUCCACGUCGCUCCCAUUCGUCAGCAAAUCUCCUGACAGACGAGAUGGAAAUCAGAUCCAGCUCCAUGACCUACACAAAAAUGUGUAUAAUUCUAAGAAUUUAGGUAGGGUGAUAUUAGUGGAGAUUUAAAAGUAUGAAAACAGUGAAUAUAUGAGGCCUACCCACUCAAAUGAGAUAAGGCAAGGAUGAUGACAAUUGGAUACAAUCAAUAUCAGGUUCAAGUCAAUGGCAUUCGAACCUGAUCCAUAUGGACUUGAUUGAAAACAGUAGUACUAGUGCUUACCUCAACAUUGGGCAUUCGGCUAUUGUAAACCUCUUCUCUCCACAUAGAUGCAAUCUUGUUUGCAGCAUUGACAUUCCUGCACGCCAUGAUAACGUGUGCUCCAGCCAUAGCUAAUUGCCUGUCAAACAAUUAAUUUAUAUGAUCUAAACAUCUAGCUAGAUAGGAGAAAUGAAUUGAAACAGAUACAUUACUUGGCUGUGUGAAGUCCAACACCACUGGUGGAACCAGUAACAAUAACAGUAAUACCAGAUAAAUCUUUAGAUUGAAGAAGGGAUGAAGUUGAUGGGAGAUGGUAAGUGAACAACUUCUGAAAUAUAGUUUCCUUCUGUAUCUCCCAAUACCUUAUAAAUUCCCAAGUGUUCUUCAACCAUGUUUUCCAAUUCAUUUUUGCUCUCUAAAGUCUAAACCAAUUGGUAUACACUAUACACUAUAUUGUGGCUAUAAUGGAUCUUGAUCUUCUCUCAUCUUGGUUGUGCUAGAAUUGCUUUUAUAUAAAUUUAUUCUUGGUCAAUACGUCAAUGUUUGUAUUAUUAUCCUCUCCCCAAGCCAAGAUAUAAACAAAAUAAUAUUAUCCACCUAAUUUUCCAUGAAGGGUCACCGACAGCAUAUAGAUCUGCAGUCUGCAGACCUGUUGAAUAUGAAUAUCUAUGGCAAGGUGCAGAUUUAUAUCUGUUCAAUGUGUAAUCAGUCAAGAUUAAGUAGAGGUUAUUCAAAUUAGAACUUUGACCUUGGAAAUUUGUACUGUCUUGUUGAUCAAGUAGGUGAUCAUGUCAUGUGAUAAGAUAUAAUUGCAUAAUAACUGUAACUUGAUUCUAGAGUUGUGUGAAAUAUUUAUACAUUUAGUAUGUCAACUCAGUAUUUGAUCAUAUAUGAAAAGGUUUCUAAGUAUGUUGCAUUUCAGAUUCUUGAUCAGUAGUAUACAGAAGAUGUCAUGGAAAAGAUUUCACUCUUAUCUCAUUUUUUUAUUAUACAAAAUAGAAGUAAUGAAAUAUUAUUAAAAGUUGAACACGUCGAUAGUUCGAGAUUAGUUAGCCCAAUGUACAUUCCUUCAAAUUCAUUGACUGUCCAACACUUGAGAUAGGUAGUCAUCCUUCAAUUCCAAAAUGUCCAGCGUCUUUUGCCAGACUUCCAAACAUGAAUCCAUGUCCUCUGCUUUUGCUGCCAUUUUACCUGGUCUACAGCUACAUGAGUAGUAUGCAAAUCCUUUAUCUAAGUUGUCUGCAACACUAUCGCUCGUGGCACAGAAAAUGGCACUCCUUGCUCCUAUAUGUUAUUCAAGGAAGAAUUAGUAUAUAUGAAGGCUAUCAUGUCAAUAUCUUGAAUUAUAGUAAUUUAGAUAGACAACUAUUAAUCAUUUACCUUGGGCAGGGCUAAACGCAAAAAAUAAUUUGUCCUUCUUCUCAGGAGUCUGAAAAUAAUUAGAAAUCAAGUUAGUUAUGCAAAAUGAAAUGUAUUCAAUCUAAUUCUUUUCACAAUUUGUUUGGUCAUUAAAUAUAGCAAGGUCAUUAACUAACCAAGUUGGUACGAACUGCCCCUGGGUUUACUGCAAUGCAUUGUACGGAAGCCUUAUUGUUGUCAAAAAGCUUGCUGGCAAGGGCUUUGAGAAACAUAAUCUGCUUCCAAAUAAGAGCAAUGAUCAAAUGUAUGAAACGAUAAGUUAAGCAUUGUUAUCAGCUCUCAGGACUUAAGACUAAACAAUUAUUUUCUUGGUGUGUUUUGGAAUUAAUUUAUAGUUUGCGUAAGUAUAUUAGGAGGGAAAUGCUUGUACCUGUACUAAUUUACUGGAUCCAUAGGCUUCAAAGCUGAUGAACUUUGAUUCCUCAAUCCUGCUGUCCCAAUAUUGAGGUUCCACUACUCCGAAAAAAUGACCCUGUAUGAAUUUAACCGGGAAAAAAAUUAGUUAAUACAAAGAAAUGGGCGUCUUUGUUCAGUACAAAACAACUAUAAAUGUCACACUAUAGAAGUACCACAGAGUUAACAUUGAUUAUGCGUGCGGAUGGAGCUUUGAGCAAAGAUGGUAACAGAAGAAGGGUAAGCAGAGCGGAUGCAAUGUGGUUCACAUGCAUGUGCUGCUCAAGUCCUUCUCCGGUGAACUUUUGAGACUCUAUAUCAAAGAAAAAAACAGAACCAUAUUAAGAACAGCACUGGAGCACAUAUGUACAAAAUAAUAUCAUGUCAAAUGUCAAUACAUAUUACCAUGUUUUACUAAACAUAUAUCAGAAUAAUGAUUUAGCUAUAAUCAUUUUUCUCUUAUUUGUAGAAUAUUGAAGAUUGCUUGUGUUGUGUUUAGACAUACUAUUAAUAAAAUGAUAAUGCAGAAUACGCUCGUGAUGGACAGACGGUGAUCUGAGGGUGAUGAAGCAGGGGCGAGGCAGUAUAAUAAGUACUGCAGAGCUACAUACAUAGCAGGGCAACAAAGGGACAUUGUAUGGUCUGUUGAGCGCGGCAGAGGGCAGUGCAGGGUGAACAGCACUAGUGGAUGUUGCUGAACAAGAUGCAAAGCCCGGCUUUGCCCAUACGCCUGUGAUGGGCUGGCUUGGAGCACGAUUCAUAAAAGUUGUAACUCAUACUCUCAUAGACCUUAAUAGGAAAAUGUUCUCUAGAAUGUACCUUCUAUUUUUAGAAUCCCGGCGUUGGUUAUUAGUAUAUGCAAUGGAUUUGCCUUUCGCUUCCAUUCAUCAGCAAAUCUCCGCACUGACAAGAAUGAUACAAGAUCCAACUCCAUAACCUGUUAAAAAUUGAAAGAUCGGUAUAACAAAUACAACUAGCUCAAACUUAAUAUAUAUUAAAAGUUUAAAACAGACGCAAAUUACCUCCACAUUAAGUUUUUUGCUAUUGGAAACCUCCUCUCUCCAGGCAGAAGCAAUCACUUCUGCAGCUUCAAUAUUCCUGCAGGCCAUUAUAACAUUGGCUCCAGCCAUAGCAAAUUCCCUGCCCAUACAUAUAAUUGAGUAAAAUUAGCUAUUGAUCUACACUGAAGUAGAAAUUUUAUAGAUGGAAUUCGCGCAAACUUAAGUAUCAAUAUUUGAUGACCCAAUUGUACAUGAUCAUGCCGAAUCAGUCUAGGACUAUGGGCCUGGUUCUAGACCAGUGGCAACACGGUAACCGCAGAAGGAAAAAUACAAGAGAAGAGAGUAGUUAGGAUUACAUACUUGGCUAUAUGAAGACCAAUACCACCAGUAGAGCCAGUAACGAUGACAUUGAAACCAGAUAAAUUCUUAGUCUCAAGAAGAGCAGAAGCUGUUGGAAGAUGGUAAUUGGUAAGUGAAAAACUUUUGCAAUAUAGUCUCCUUCAAAUAUUUCCAUGAACUUAUGAAUGUCCAAGUAAUCUUCAAUGUCUUCCAAUUCAUUCUCUCUCUCUCUCUCUUUUCAGUUACCACAAUUAUGUUUUAUACAAAAACAAGAUGAAGACUAAGGUGGUGUACGUGCUUGUAAUAUAUAGUAUCCAAACUACAAAGCCAUCUCUUCAUUUUUCUCAUUUCAAAGUCAUCACACCCUCAUUAACAUACUCAUUUUUCACAUGCCCAUUCCUAGGUGGUGGCCAAUUUGAUUCAAAUCUCCUGACAGACGACAUGGAAACCAGAUCCAAUUCCAUGACCUACACAUAAGUUCAACAAAAAUAUGUCUUUUGGUUGUGGAGGACACAAUUAGAAGUAUCUAUAAGAAUUUAGGUAGGAUGAUAUAUAUUAGUAGAAAUAUAAUGAAUAUAUGCGGCCUACCCACUCUAAUGAGAUAAGGCAAGGAUGAUGACAAUUGGAUACAAUCAACAUAAUCAAUAUCGGGUUCGAGUCAACGUCAUUCAAACCAGGUAUUGGCUUGAUUUGAAAACAGUAGUACUAGUGCUAACUGCUAACCUCAACAUUGGGCAUUCUACAAUUGUACACCUCUUCUCUCCACAUAGAUGCAAUUUUGUUUGCAGCAUUGACGUUUCUGCACGCCUGAUAACAUGUCCUCUAGCCAUAGCUAAUUGCUUGUCAUGUAUAUUGAAAACAAUUAAUAUCUAUGAUCCAAAGUUUCAAACAUCUAGCGAGAAAUGAAUUGAAAUGGUAUACAUACUUGGCUGUGUUAAGUCCAACACCACUAGUCACUAGUGGAACCAGUAACGAUAACAGAAACCCCAGGUGGAGAUGGUAAGUGAACAACUUCUGAAAUACAGUUUCCUUCAUUAUCUCCCAAUAACUUAUAAAUUCCCAAAUGUUCUUCAACCAUGUUUUCCAGUACAUAUUUGCUUGAUCUUUUUUUUUUUUUGUUAAGUAGCAUUCUAUUAAUAAAAGGCAAGUAUUACAACCAGGUUGUGAAUAAUGGUUCACAUUCUCUGGUACAGUAUAGUACAGAGGUAAGAAAAACAACUGAAAAACAGGGGGAAACAGCUCCAAAAGUCAAUCCGUCAUGGCGUGAGGAAAUGAACCCAGUCACAGGCAAGAUCCUGAAAGUGGUGGUCCCUGUUCAUUGUAUUACCUCCGAUCCAGUUCCAUAUAAAACCUUUACCAUCAUGAUGCAUUUGUAGCUAAGGGGUUCGACAUUUCUGAAAAUGCAGUCGUUUCUAAACUUCCAAAAUCCAAAUAGACCAUGUAAUAGCGUAAUGCAUUACCUCCUACAUUUUCUUUCCUAAACCAGUACCAGUAUAGUCAGGCCAGGUUUUAAAGAGCUUAUCCACUUUCUGCAAAGUAUCCAGGUAGUCUUCUAUAUCGUAGACGUCCUGCAGCAGUCUGAACCAGAUCCCUCUAGAGUAGAGAAGGGACGGUGAAGAAAAAUAUGGUCUGUAGUUUCAGGUAAUGCCUUACAUAAGCAACAGACAGGAUCAGCAACAUUUUUGCUCGAUCUCUAACUAAUUGGUAUAUACUAUUACAAUUGUCUUAUUUUUGUGGCUAUAACCUAUAAUGGAUCUCUUCUCUAUCUUGGUCAGUACGUCAAUGUUCGUAUUAUUAUCCCCUCCCCAAGCCAAGAUAUAAACAAAAGAGAUUAUAUUAUCCACCUAAUCUUCCACCAAGGUUACCAACAGCUUGUAGAUCUGCAGUCUGCAGUCUCCACAACCAAAAGAAAAUAUUUCUAGAUUUCCACUUCACAGUCUUCUUGUUUCAUAAUUGCAUAAGAACUGUGACUUGUUUCUAGAGUUGUGUGAAAUUGUUGUAGAUAUAGAAUGGCAACUCAGUAUUUGAUCAUAUAUGAAAAGAUUUUCAUGUAUGUUGCAUUUCAGAUUCUUGAUCAGUAGUACACAGAAGAUGUCAUGGAAAAGAUUCCACUCUUAUAUAUAUGAUUUUUUAUUAUACAAUGUAGAAAUAUACUUAUAACUUGAACAUAUCACCAGUUCGAGAUUAAUUAGCCAAAACUACAUUCCUUCAAAUUCAUUGACUGUCCAACACAUGAGAUAGGUAGUCAUCCUUCAAUUCCAAAAUGUCCAGUGUCUUUUGCCAGACUUCUAAACAUGAAUCCAUGUCCUCUGCUUUUGCAGCCAUUUUACCUGGUUUACAGCUACUUGAGUAGUAUGCAAAUCCCUUAUCCAAGUUGUCUGCCACGCUAUCGCUUGUGGCACAGAAAAUGGCACUCCUUGCUCCUAUAUAUUAAAGGAACAUUUAAUACGAAGGCUAGCUUGUUAUUUUUCAUAAAUUAUAGUAAUAUGGAUAUGUUAGAAUACUUGUAGUCACUUACCUUGGGCAGGACUAAAAGCAAAAAAUAAUUUAUCCUUUGGCUCAGGAGUCUGGAAAUAAUUAGAAAUUAAGUUAGUUGUGCAAAAAUAAAUGUAUUCAAUGUGUUUGUUUAGUCAUUCAAUUCUACGAGGCGUUAACUAACCAAGUUGGUACGAACUGCUCCUGGGUUUACGGCAAUACAUUGUAUGGAAGCCUUCUUGUUGUCGAAAAGCUUGCUGGCAAGGGCUUUGAGAAACAUAAUCUGCUUCCAAAUAAGAGGAAUGAUCAAAUGUAGGAAAGGAUUUAUGCAUUUUUCUCAGAUAGGACUUAGGACUGAACAAUUAUUUUCUUGGUGUGUUUUGGAAUAUAUAGUUUGUGCAACUAUAUGUCUAUAUCAGGAGGGAAAUGCUUGUACCUGUACUAAUUUGCUGGAUCCAUAGGCUUCAAUGCUGUUGAAUUUUGAUUCUUCAAUCCUGCUGUUCCAAUACUGAGGCUCCACUACCCCACAAAAAUGACCCUGUAUAUAUGUAAUGAAUAAAAAAAAGGUUAAUACAAAUAAAUGGGCGUCUUUGUUCAGUACGAAACAACUAUAAAGCCAUCUAAUAUAAUGUCACACUAUAGAAGUACCACAGAGUUAACGUUGAUUAUGCGUGCAGAUGGAGCUUUGAGUAAAGAUGGUAACAGAAGAAGGCUCAGUAGAGCAGACGCUAUGUGGUUCACAUGCAUGUGCUGCUCAAGUCCUUCGCCAGUGAACUUUUGGGACUCUAUCAAAGAUUAAACAGAACCAUAUUACGAACAGUAGUAUAUACAAAAUAAUGUCAUGUCAAAUGCCAACACAUAUUUCCGUAUUUUACUAACAGUAUAUCCGGAAUAAUUAGUUUUAAUUCUAAUCUUGUUUCUUCUAUCAUUGUUAGAGUAUUGAAGAUUGCUUGGUGGUGUUAAAAUGAUAAUGGAAAUUCAGGGUUUGUGGCUUUAAUUUAGGGGUGGAAUGCUCUCAUGGUGGACAGACCGUGAUGAUCUGAGGCUGAUGAAGCAGGGGAGAGGCAGUAUAAUCUGUACUGCAGAGCUACAUACAUAGCAGGGAACAAAGGGACAGUGUAUGAUCUCUUGAGCACGGCAGAGGGCAGUGGAGGGUGACCAACAGGGCUGUUGCAGGUAUUAUGGUCGUUUUUCUGUUGUUCUGAUUUCAUUACCUGGUGAGGUUAGUUAACACCCACUACGUGUUAUUUGGUUCAUGCUGAUUGAAAGAAUAAUUCUAUUUUAUAAAGAAAACUAUAGUAAAUAGGAUAAUCUACAUGAAUAAAUGCAUUUUGAAGAUUUAGAGGAUCUCCUUCUUGUAAAUAACUAGUAUGUUAGCCCGUGCUACGCAUGGGUUAGUUUUAUUUUCAUCUGUAUAUGUUCCCAUUAUAAUUAUAAUUUUAUUUUUUUUCUGACAAAAUGGUAUACCGAUUACCAAGCAAACCUAUGUCAAAUUUGCUUGAAGACAAAUGUUUUUUUUUUUUUUUACCCGAAACUCUAAAGUUCAAUUCUCAUUGACUGGAAAUACAGAUGAAUUUUAUUCAGCUUUAUAAUUGUAGAAAGAUAAGUAAGCGGUAAGACAGUGGUGGAUGUUGGUUAAGUGACUGCAAAGCCCUGCUUUGCCCAUACGCCUGUGGUAGGACUGGCUUGGAACACAAUUCGUAAAAGUUGUAACUCAUAGACCUUAAUAUGAAAAGGUUAUCUGGAAUGUACCUUCUAUUUUCAGGAUCCCGGCGUUGUUUAUUAGUAUAUGCAAUGGCUUUGCCUUUUGCUUCCAUUCAUCAGCAAAUCUCCUAAUUGAUGAGAAUGAGAUAAGGUCCAACUCCAUAACCUGCUCAAAAUCAAAGGGUGAGUAUAACAAUUAUAAAAGUAUAUAAGAACUAGCUCAAAAUCAAAGAAUAUAUUUAAAAAGACGCAAAUUACCUCCACAUUCAGGUUUUUACUAUUGGAAACCUCUUCUCUCCAGGCAGAUGCAAUCACUUCUGCAGCUUUGACAUUCCUGCAGGCCAUUAUAACAUUGGCUCCAGCCAUAGCAAAUUCCCUGCCCAUACAUAUAAUUGAGUAAAAUUUAGCUAUUGAUCUACACUGAAGUAGAAAUUUUAUAGAUGGAAUUCGCGCAAACUUAAGUAUCAAUUUUGUUUUUCGUUAUUUGGUGACUUAAUUGUACAUGACCAAGAGCCUUUUGUGUGGGAUCAUGCCGAAUCAGUCUAGCUAGCUAGGACCAUGGGCAUCUGAGUGUCAAGCCUCCAGGUUGAGCCUGGUUCUAGACCAGUGGCAACACGGUAACCGCAGAAUGGAAAAAUACAAGAGAAGAGAGUAGUUAGGAUUACAUACUUGGCUAUAUGAAGACCAAUACCACCAGUAGAGCCAGUAACGAUGACAUUGAAACCAGAUAAAUUCUUAGUCUCGAGAAGAGCAGAAGCUGUUGGAAGAUAGUAAGUGAAAAUCUUUUGCAGUAGAGUCUCCUUCCAAUAAUUCCAUGAACUUAUGAAUGUCCAAGUGAUCUUCAAUGUCUUCAAAUCCAUCUCUCUUUCUCUCUCAACAAGGAGAGACUUUCUUUUAAUUCACUUUAUACAAAAACAAGAUACAAGAACAUAGUGCUAGUGGUGUGCUUGUACAAUAAUAUUCAAACUACAGUAUACAAAGAAAGUCAAAUUCACAAGGAAAUGUAAGCCUGCCAUGACCAUCUCUUUCAAUUUUCUCAUUUCUAAGUCAUCGCACUCAUUUGUCACAUGCCCAUUCCUUGGUGCCGGCUUAUUUGGUUCAAAAAACAUACUUAUGUAUCCAUAGAAAUAUUCAUAAAAUAGUGGAUCAUUAUUGUGAAAUAAUCAAUUCAUCAUUCAAACUUCCAAGUCCAACUUCUUUAGUCCAUAUUCUCCUCUAUUUAUUUAUUGGAAUAAAUAAAAAUAUUAUAUAUUACAAUUGCAAAUUCAAUGCUGACUUUAUAAUUGUGCAUAUUUUGCAAUAUGGGAUAGAUUUUGGAAUAUGUGAAUAUUAUUGGCCUUGCAACAAAAGUUUCCAAGACGAAUAAUGUAAUCUGGUAUGGACUCAGAAAAUUUGAGUUAAACUACAAAAAAUCAUUUCCUAAGUCAAAAUUGAGUAUCCUAAUAGGAUUGAGUCAAACAUUUUCUGAGUCGCGAAAACCCCUCCUAUAAAUGAAUAAUUGAAUACUCCAUAAUUAUUUGCGGACAAUUAUAGGGACAACUUAUGUGACAACUGGUGAUGUGUUUAUUCCACAUCAGCUACUUCCCAAAACAAAAUUGCCACGUGUCUAUAAUUUACAAAAAUAAAACUAAAAACUCGUCUCAAGUCCAAACCCAAAUGUUUAGUUAGGUUUUAGGCUUGGACCUAUGUUUAGUUGGCUUAAGGACACGGGUUUAAGGUUUACUAUCGCAUAAGUCCAAUAAUACGGAAAAUCGUUAGUAUCCAGGACAGAGUCGUGUUUUAUUAGUUGGAUAAAAUUUAGAUAAUACCAGAACUACCCUCACAAGCAGAGAUUGGUUUUCUUCUUAAAUCUGUUAAACCAUCGUAGCAGAAUCACUAUUAGUCUUGGGAAGAGGGGAAGCUAGAUUGGUGACUGGUGAGAGAUGAGUCGAAGCGAAGAUGAUGAAGAUGAACUGGCGCCAAUGACAUCUAUAAGGACAACGACGAGUUUAUCCUCAAGAAGCUUUAAAUCGCUCUUUGAGAAGUAAGAAAACAAUCCAAUUGAUAAUUCUUAAGUUAGUUUCUUUUUGAAAAAUAUAUUCUGUUUUUUAAUUUGUUGUUGAUUGUGUUUAUAAACUUUUAUGUUUGAUUUGAUGAUUAUAGUCUGAAGACAAUUGAUAUUUUGAACCCUGUAAGAGUACUAACAAGUUUUGAUUUUUUUAUCAAUUUGAUUGAUGAAUUGUGGAAACUGUUGGAGUUGAAGUAGUUUUAUUUUUGGAUAAAUAGGCAACNNNNNNNNNNNNNNNNNNNNNNNNNNNNNNNNNNNNNNNNNNNNNNNNNNNNNNNNNNNNNNNNNNNNNNNNNNNNNNNNNNNNNNNNNNNNNNNNNNNNNNNNNNNNNNNNNNNNNNNNNNNNNNNNNNNNNNNNNNNNNNNNNNNNNNNNNUCACGAUCAGCAAAGCUGCAGUUAGUGCUGCAAACAGGGUUUUCCCUCUGGAGGAUUAGGCAUUUUACUACUCAUCAAAGGAUUACGUUUAUCUAGCGAAAAAAAAGGAUUGUGUUUAGGUUACAAGAGCUUAUUCGAAGAAAUACGAUGAACAUUCCCCGUUGAGAGAAACAUGAAGGUGAAAUGUUUUUUUUUUUUUUUUUUGUAAUUAUUGUUGUACUUGUACUUGUGGGAUCAAGAUCAACUAGCCAAGAACAUAACUAUGGAGCAAGGGAAAACAUUGAAGGACGCCCAGGGUGAUGUGUUUCGCAUUUUAGGUUAGUAUUUUUAUUAUUUUGUUUUGAGUAAGUUUUUAUUCAUUAGAUGAAUGUUUUAUCUUAUUAGUAAUAUAAUUGAAGUUUAAAGAUUUACUCAUGUGCAAAAGUAUUAAUGUGAAUGUUAAGAAAUAACUAAUGUGGAAUUUGAAUCGAAUUCAUCCAUAUUGUCAAUAAUGUAUAUACUCAUGCUUGGUAUUUCACUAAUGUUCUGUCAAAUUGUAAAUUAUUAGUCUGAGAGUUAAAUGUUAAGAGUUAGGCAUGUGUCAUGUCAGGCCAAUAUGGCAGCAUAUCUUCUUGCCAAACGAGCAAUAUCGGCAUCUUGUUCAGCUCCUUGGUUGUAUGCCUCUAGUGCAUACACUAGAAAGGGCUGAUGGUUUGUACUGUUUGUAUUUUGUGUGAUAUAUAAAAUUGUUUUUGUUGUUCAAAAAAAUAAAAAUAAAAAAAUAAAUGUUUAGAUAUACCGUCGAAUUGCCAAUUUGCCAUACUAGUCUGAAUGUAGGCAAUGGUGAGGCUAAUGGGGUCCACAGUGGAGCGAGCAAGGUUGUGAAUCAUGGCAAAGGCAACGAGUUGCAACAAAGUACAGAUUGUGUAGUAUAGUCUUGAGUCCUAUUUGCCAUUGAAUUGCCAAUUUGCCAUACUAGUCUGAAUGUAGGCAAUGGUGAGGCUAAUGGGAUCCACAGUCCUGGGAGCGAGCAAGGUUGUGAAUCAUGGCAAACGCAACGAGUUGCAACAAAGUACAGGUUGUGUAGUAUGUUGUGCGCAGCGGAAGCUUAUGCACCAAUACCCAAGAUUAGAAUAGUGUGUGAAUCAAACAAAGCAAAACAAAACAAACACAAAACACAAGAUUUACGUGGUUCGGCUAAUAUUGCCUACGUCCACGACCAAAACAACAAUCUUCCAAAUAGAGACGAUUAUACAAGCCCUCAUGAAGAAACCAAAGUGUUCUUCCUCACAAGAGUUCUCUCAAACUCACCAAUGGCUUCUCACAAUCUCUCUCUCACAUGAAGAUUAGGUUUUCCAACCUUCUCAAUUGGCUUUAUAACAUAGCCAUACAAAACACACACGAAAUGGGCUUAAACAGGCCCAUAUACACAAAACCAAGAUAGGACGUACGUACGUCGAAUUGACGUUCGUACGUUCAGCCACAAAACCAACAUCUGUCGAAUGGAACGUACGAACGUCCUAACUGCGUACGUACGUUCCUGAACCAAAAAAUUCCCUGCAUCCAAAAAAUUCCAACAUAGUAUAGUCUUGAGUCCUAUUUGUACGAGAGUUUGUACUUAAUGUCUUAUCACCUGAAGGUGUUAUUCAUUCAAACUAACCAGGUUGUAACAGGAUGUUCGCGUGAAUAAUAAAAUUUUAGUUUAAAUUGUGAAUAUAGUAUUGUUGGAUGGAUCCAUAAGCUCUAAAUGGUAAGAGCGCUCAAUAAAUGAGAGGUUGAUGGUUCAAAUCCAUCUGGAUUCAGUUUGUGUCUAGUAUUAAUAUGAUAAACAACUAUUGUUGAGUUGAUUACUUUAUUAAUCAACUAUUGUUAAGUUGAUCAAUAUACUAAUCAACUAAAUAGAAACGAAAAUAUAAAUUUCUAAGUUGAUUAAUGUACUAAUCAACUAUUAUUGAGUUGAUUAAUGAACUAAUCAAUUAGUGUUAAAAUAAAUUUCGUAGUUGAUUAAUGUACUAAUCAAUUAUUGUUAAGUUGAUUAAUAUAUUAAUCAACUAGUGUUUUACUUGAUAAUAUACUAAUCAACUAAACAAAAAGAAAAAUAUAAAUUACUUAAUUGAUUAAUGUAUUAAUCAAUUAUUGUUGAGUUGAUUAAUAUACUAAUCAACUAUACAAAAAAAAUAUAUAAAUUUUUUGGUUGAUUAAUAUAUUAAUCAACUAUUCUUGAGUUGAUUAAUAUACUAAUCAAAUAAUUUAUUAGUUGAUUAAUCAACUUUUGUAUUAAUGUCAGUAUUAGAACUAAUAAAGGUGCUAAUAAACUUAUACUGAUUAAUAUGUUAAUCAACUGAUAUACAGGUACAUCCAUUCUAAGUUUUGCCAAAAAAUAAUAUAGCUUCAGCUCUCUCUUAUUCCCAAUCCUCAUCUCUAAAUAAAUUUUCUCAUCAAUUUUAAAUAAAGAUAUAAAGUUAGAUUUCAACAACCCAUGUGGAUAUAUGUUUAAAGAAGUGAGAAUUAUGAUUUGAAUUCACCUUCUUAAUUGCAAAGGAAAAUUAAAUCUCAAAAACAAGCUUUUAUAUGAUGAUUUGGAUUAUGGAUACAAAUUGUUCAAAGGUUAGAGAAAAUUAUUAAAUUAAUUAAUCAUCGUUAUUAGGUCUACUAAAAACAUAAAACUGAAAGAUUUGUAGUAUUGGAGUUAUAUUCAAUAAAAAAUCUUUGAAUUUGAAGAUCAAACACAAAAUAAAACUAAAAAGUGAAUGAAGAACCCCGACGGCCCGACUAUUAUUAGAGAAAAUGAUAAAUUAUUUAAUUAAAAAAAAUAGUUAGAGAGAGAGAUCGCCGAGGGGACUGCUCAGUUAGUUGAUAGAGAGAGACGGUGGAGAGUGAAAUCACCGAAUAGAAAGGAGACAGGGGUAUCUUAGUCAUUGCAUAUUAUUGUCCUAAAUCCUAAGCAAAUGUUUGUAUGGUCCUUGGGCUAUAUAAAACUUGUUAUCUGGUCCUUAGACCCAAAAUGCCGAAAAUAAAAAUAUAAAAAAAAAACACUUAUUCGGAUCCCACUAACAAAUUAAAGUCCAAAGGUCAAAGAAAUUAGCUGAUGUGGAAUAGACACAUCAUCAGUUGCAACAAAACAAAAAUUGUCCCUUAUAGUUGUCCAUGUAGAAUUUCAUUAGCCAUAUAUAUGUUUCUUCAAAUUCAUUGAUUGCCCAAUACUUGAGAUAGGUAGUCAUCCUUUAAUUCCAAAAUGUCUAGAGUCUUUUGCCAGACCACUGAACAUGCAUCCAAGUCCUCUGCUUUUGCUGCCAGUUUACCUGGUUUACAGCUACAUGAGUAGUACGCAAAACUCUUAACCAAGUUGUCUGCUACGCUAUCACUUGUGGCACAAAAUAUUGGACUCCUCGAACCUAUAUUGUUGGCAAAAUUGUAAGUCAUGCCGAUAUAGAAAGAAGUAAACAUACUCGUAACUCGAUUAAUCAGUUUAAGCUCAGGGUCGUGGAUGCUUAACUCAAAGAUUAUCGUUUAUUUUAGUUAACUACAAGAUCAUUGUCAAUAAGAUUCCGAAAAUUACAAUACUACACCAGACAGUAGUUUCAGCUUUGAAAUUAAGAAAGUGAGUUGAUCAAAGGUUAGUUAAUUACCUUCAACAGCAUCAUACAUAAAAAAUAAUUUUUUCUUUGACCCUUCAUUCUGUAAAUUUUGAGAAAUCAAAUUAGGCGAGCAAAAAGGAACUAUGGAAGAAUAUCAAUGUGGUUUAAUGAACCAUAAUAAUCAUAUAUUGUGGUUCUAAUUUGUCUCGACACUUUUGGGAAACAGUGACUUACCAAGUUGGUGCAAACUGCCCCUGGGUGUACUGCAAUGCACUGUAUGGAACCCUUAUUUCUGUCUGAAAGCUUGCUUGCAAGGCUCUUCAGGAACAUCAUCUGCUUCCAAAUAAGAGGAAACAGCAAGUAUAUGAAAAGGGGAAACAAUACUAUUCUAAAGUAAUAUUAGAAAUGAACAUAUUAAAUAAAAAUGAAGCUAUUUAUUGGAGCUGAGUGUCAAAUGGUCUUAAUUAGAGCAAUUAUAUGUGUUAUCCACCAACGAUAUCAAUGAGAAUUUUAUAUUUGCAAUUGUAAUUCAUGUGAUUUCCUUUCCUUAUGAAUGGAAAUAAAAGAGAAGACGGAGGAAAAGUGUCAUACGUGGACUAAUUUACUGGAUGCAUAGGCUUCAAUGCUACUGAUGUUUCGGUCGUUCUUGCUAGUCCAAUAUUGAGGUUCCACCACUCCUAAAUGAUUAACCUACAUGAAUUUGAUGUAAGACAGAGAAAAAGAACUGAGUAAAAUCAUAGUUUAUUUUUCUCGAUAAACUUUGAACAAAAGUAGAGUCACAGUAUAUAAGUACCACAGAGUUAACAUGGAUUAUGCGUGAGGAUGGAGCUUUGAGUAAAGAAGGUAAAAGAAGAAGCGUCAACAAAGCAGGUGCGACAUGGUUCACAUGCAUGUGCUGCUCAAGCCCUUCACUGGUGAACUUUUCUGACUCUAUCAAGGAAAACAAAACCAAAUUAAGAGUAAGAAAAAGUAUAAUAAUCACUAUUUAAGAUCAAUGAUGUAUCCUAAUAUACUUGUUACAAGGAGUCAAGGAUAGAAGAUCCAAACAGGUGAUAUAUCCGAACUCGCUUCAAGUAUAUCAAAUAUAAAAUAGGAAUUGUUUCUACUUUCUAUCGAAGUAUCAAACUCUAGCUGCACUGUUAAACAGGCGAUAUUAUAUUGUAGUUAUUUAGAAUUUUCCCUUCAACCAAAUUUCCCUUUCAACUAAAAUAUGCCUUCUUGUAAUUUUCAGCAACCUCCCAUGUCUUCUUUUAAUUAUCACUUUCAAGUAGAUGUCAUAUGCUUUUGCAGUUUUGCCUUUUGCGGGGUAUAUUUCAUUCAUUGAAACGCUUUGGUACAUGAUCCAGUCAGUUUCUCACUUAAUUGAUCAUGAUCAUGCAAAUACAUGGUCAUGAAAUCAUCUAGCUAACAGAACUGGAAGGUUUGUAAUUUUAAGUCAUUCACCUCGGCACUCUUUUAUUUGCUAUACAUGCCGUAUAUUUGUAGACCUGGAAACCGCUAUAAGAGUUUCCAGAAAAUCAAAAUUGUGUCUGGUUCCCAUGAAGAAAUAUGGAAAGCAAAUGAGUGGCAUUUACCAUUUUUUUUCUAUGAACCAAAUACAGCCUAAAUGUGUUAUGUGAAAUGUAUUCGAAAAUGUAUCCAGCAGUUUCUACGUGUACAAGGGAUUAUAGAAAGUUCAAAUUCACCUCCUAGUGCAAGCAUUCCCGCGUUGUUUAUUAGUAUAUGCAAUUGCUUGUCAUGCUGCUCCCAUUCAUCAGCAAAUUGUCGGACUGAUGGGAAGGAAACAAGAUUCAACUCCAUAACCUGCGUGUACCAUGUACAUAUAAAUAAAACCAUUAUAGGCAAUAAUAAAAUCAAUUCAAAAUCAGAACAUAAAUACUACAAACGCAUAUUACCUCCACAUUCAGGACUCUGAUAUUGCGUGCUUCUUCUUUCCACAUAGAUGCAAUCUUUUUUGCAGCUUUGACGUUCCUACAUGCCAUGGUAAUGUGCGCUCCAGCCAUAGCAAUUUCCCUGCCAUACAUAUUGUACAUUGCCAAUAAACAAAAACAAAAACAAUUUUAGUAACUUUCAACAUUGAAACUAUAUAACUGAACAAAUUAAAUUAGUACAGAAGAAAUUAAUGGAGUAUGUGGAGAUAUAUAAACUCUGUUUCAAUAAACGGAAAUGGCAGAGUGUUAAUAUGUUUUGGUGACCCAAUUAUACAUUUGUACAUGACCAACAAUCCAACAUGUAUGAAUGAGGAUUACAAGACUAUACAAGAGCCUAGUACAAAAUGCGGCGAACUCCAGCAUAAAAUUUAGUACUAUAUUCUAAGGGUCAGAACUCAGUAUAUCUCAUCGGAUUUGUACGUUGUCCUCUGUGAAAAUGGACUUUCGUCUGAAACUGAAUGUAUGUCGAGGAUUAAAAGACUAUAUAAGAGUGAUAGUAUUACAUACUUGGCUGUGUGAAGUCCAAUACCACUAGUAGAGCCAGUGACGAUGACAUUGAGACCAGAUAAAUCUUUGGAUUGAAGAAGAGCAGAUGCUGGUGGGAGAUGGUAAGUCAACAGCUUCUGAAAUACACUCUCCUUCCAUACUUCCCAUGAGCUCAUUAGUAUCAAAGUAUCAUUGUUCACCCAUGCCUUGAAAGCCAUCUCUCUUCUCUGAUUCCUUCUCUCUCACACACACAUAGUAAGUAGUAACCCUCUUUUAUACAAACAACAAGAUGUAAUGACAAUUGUCUGAAAAAUAUAUACCACAAACAAACACUUGCAUAGUUCCAUUAAAGAGAUACUCUUUCUAGACAAAUGUGGGAUAUACUAAACUGCCGAUAUUAGUAACAAAAAAACAAAAAACUUCUUGUUACCUAAGUAAUUCAUAUAGCCCUUUCUCCAAGCGUUGGAUGAACCCAAGUACACCCAAGCAAACAUUCCAAUGCAGCCUAGACUCUAAAUUGAACCUAUGGUUUGUGUUUAAACAUGACUAGCUAGAUUCCUAUUAACAAUUUCAUUAUUUGCAUUGAUAAUAAAACAAUUUUUAUGCAUGAUAUGAUGAUAAACAUGUGUUGUUGAAGUACUCAAAACGAUACAUUCGUAGGGUUUAAGAUGUAUUAAAACGGCUUGAUUCUUGUUAGGAGAACCUUCCAACAACCAUCAGCCAGAGACUCAUUGGCAGGAAAACUGUCCCCAAGUAACUCAACUACCACCUUUCUCUAUUUAAAUAUCACAAUUAGUAAAUUAACAUUGUGAAAGAAAAUUGAUGGAUUUGGACAUUAUAACUGUAAUCAUAUAAAAUUUAGCCGCCCUAUUAGAUAUACUUAAUUUAUGUCAUAUCAUCAACUCAACUACUCAAGUCUAAGAACAAGAAACUACUCAAGCCAAGUGCCAUAUGGCUCUAUGAGUUCCAACACACACAGAAGAUAUGUAAGGAUAUACAGGGUGAUGCAGGGUGCCACCCUUUGAAAAGUUGCUUCUUGGCAUUUUUCUAGAAUUCAAUAAAACACACACAACAACAAGAAGAAAAAAAAGGAAAAAAAAACUGUAUAGCGUUUGUAAGCAAUGGUGAUCUGUCUGAAUACAACAUGGGAAAAACAAUAACAAAAAUUGCUUCUUCAUUGGAGCUGUUACAGAUCUGUGCGACCGAUUUCAAGAAUUUGAACAAAUACCUUUUCUUUACAACAAAGGAUGACAUCUUUUACACCAAAAUAUAUACAGCAUUGCAUACAACAAUCGAAAAAUAUCAGCACUAGCUCAGAUUCUCGGAAUCAUGUAUUCUGUAUAGAACGGCAAGGGAAAGACGUGUACCGGCAUUUUCCCAGGGAGCAAGGUUGUUGUUUGAGGAAAUUGAAACACAUUCGACUUCCACGGUGUAGCACAUUGUCUAGUUAAAGACCUUUGUCAGCUUUUCCCUUGUUUCAUCGUUCAAAUCCGGCUCCUGCCAAUGCUUCUGCCAUUGAAGAAGAUGCCUCUUCAAGCGUCCGCUGUUUCUGUACUGUAGUGUAGGCCUCAAGUAUAUCACCAACUUCCCAAUCAACAAAAUUAUCCAUCCCCAUACCACAUUCCAUUCCAGCAUUAACCUGAUUGGAAUAAAGGACUUGUUAAAUGAGAAAUUUUUUGACUAAACAGAAAGCUCAUUCAAAAGUUGCAUUACAUGGUGCACAUUGUUUAACUUUAUAUGUCUGUAUACUGAGAUAUGAUUUAUUAUAGUGCAGUUGCAGAAUUAGCUUUCUUUUCAUUGAAGUUGUUUGGAAAAUUUAAGGUAUCUCACUACUAUCUCAUAAGAUCCUACAAAAGUCCUUAGCAUUUUAUGGUCAAACUUCUCAAUUAAUAUUGUUAUUACACUACAGUAUGAACGCCUUAGUAAGCUUGGAUCUAUCACAAAUUUACCAAAUGAUAACAUAAAAAUUGGUACCAGUCAGUCUGGUGGAAACUUUCAUCCAGACAUAACGAUUAAAAUGACGACAUACCUCUUUCACCAUCUCCUUCACCCGUCUCAGUGAGUCAAGAACACCACUAUAGAAUGUUUUGUCUUUUCGAACAACUCUAAUUCUACAGCCUUUCACAACUUUUCCUUCGGUAACCAUGCAUCCAGCAACACGACCACUACCACUGCUGAAUACCGCCCGGACUUCUGCUGAUCCAAUUGGUAUUUGUUCCUAACAAGUGUAUAAAUAAUAAAUUUCAGCUAUUAAUAUUCGUGUAACAUAAUGCAUCUAGGUAGCACACAACUGAUUAAUUAGGAGCCAACUUUGGGAUAAAGGCAACUUAAUAAAAAAUGAGCUGAGAUUAGUAAAGCUUAAUAAAAAAAAAAAAAUUGAGUGUAUUUGAAGUUUGUGGAGCAAUGAUAAAUUGAUGCCACUACCAACCAUAUGAUUGAAUUUGCUCUCCGCACCAUUAGCAUAAAGCAAAAAUUAUAACAUGACAUGACCAUGACUGAAAACCCUCACUGCCCUAUCGUUAAUCUAAUGAAGAGAAAAAAAUAUUUCCCUCACUUAUUUGCUUUAAAUCACCAGCCCAUAUAGACUUCAAACUGGGAACUACAAUUAUCAGAUGUUUUGUAUCUAGACCAGAUAGGAACAAAACAAGCAUAAAGCCUGCUAUGGAUGGUUAAAUGCCGUAGGAUAUUUGGACUGCCGCAAUAAAUUAUAAAUGGUGUGAGGCUGUGAGUGAGCUCACACCAUUCAAACAGUGUGUACCGUAUAAUUACACUGACGGAAGAGGGGAAAAUCAAAUAAAGCUAUAACAUCUAAGAAAUAAUAUACCUCUACAGGGUCUAGAAGUCCUUCCAUUGCAUUCCGAACAUCAUCAAUCAACUCAUAUAUUACUCUGUAAAGACGUAUUUCUAUACCCUGUUGAUCUGCGUAUGUUUUAACUGCACCUGGUGCUUUGACAUUGAAGCCCACUAUAAUAGCCUUACUAGCAACAGCAAGGUCAACAUCACUCAUGCUUACAUCCCCAGUAGCUUGGAGCAAGAACUUUAGUGUCACAUUAUCUUGUGGGAGCACAUGAAGGGCUUGUCUUAUGGCCUCAAUAGAUCCCUAAUAUCAAUAAAGAGCAUUUGAGUGAGUUGCAAAUGAAACAAUAACUCCAGCAAAGAUCUAAGAAAUACAGUACUAUAUAAAAGACUUAUCUAUGCAAAAUUAACAGUCAGGAACGGUGCCACACUGUAAGUUUUCCACCCAAAAUUUCAAAUAAAAUCUAUACAUUUGCUAUGGAUCUGUGGAAUUCAAACAAAAAAGAUUCUAUCCAUGUUACACGGACACACCGUAUUUUAAAAAAAGAAAAACUAUGAGCUGGAAACACGGGCACACGCAGACACAGGUACGGACAGACUAUCAAAUUGAUGUAUAUCAGGUUAGGAAAUCUUCAAUUCCCUAUAAGAUGAAGAAGAAAAGGAACGGAUAAAGAAAUUAAAACAAAGUAGAAGAGAGCUUAAAAAGAAUUUGUCCUUCCAUCUAUUUACAUCUAUACGAAAAGAGGAAAAAAAGGUGAGAUCAGAUAUAUUGUUCUUCUUGUCUAUAUUGUGUUACAGAUAAAUCAUAAUCUGGUACCCGUGCCCAAGGGCCAAGUCUUUUAAGAUGUUGUGGGGCACCAACAAAUGCACGCAUAUCAAUGUCCCUUAGGUUCAUCUUCUCAUGAAAAAAACAACAUAUCAUAACCCAUCCUCCGGUUCAUCGAUAGUCUUUUACUUUGCCACCAAGGGUAUUUAAAUUAUGACAAACGUAUUUUGAACCUCGUCCUUACCUGUAAAUCAACCUUCAUAACAAUAUUCAGCUGGUGCAGAUCUAUUCCAGCCUGUUUUCCUGCUGAAACUGCCGAUGCUAAAGAUGAAAGUGUUAUUUUCCCAUCCCCGGCCUUUUCAGAUAUUCUUUCAUCUCGUAAUGACUCUGCACGCAACUCUGCCUUCUCACGUGCAAUAUCAAGGGAGUCAACAACCUCGAAUUCAUCGCCAGCAACAGGGACAUUAUUUAACCCAAUGACCUGCAGUAUUUGAAAAAAAUGCAGAAUAUAUCAACUGAAGCGUGCAUUGAGAAUAAAAUGAGUCAUGAAACAAUGAGAAGGUGAUGCUGGAAGAGGGCAGGAAUACAAAUAAAAACCUGCACAGCAGAAGAAGGACCAGCUUCGUUCACACGAUUUCCAGUGUCAUCAAAUAAGGCUCGCACCUGAACAUUCCAACAAAUCAGACUAGUCCAUCAAACGUGGAUAGCAGACUAAACCACACAUUCGAUAACACCAUUGCAAAUGUAUUCAUAAUUAAAGUUUAGUGAUGAAAAUAAGACAACUUAACAACCUUCCCAAAGGCUCCACCACAGACAACGACAUCCCCUCUUUUGAGGGUGCCUUUCUGCACAAUGAAUGUCGAUAUAGGUCCUUUCGAUUUAUCAAGCCCUGCCUCAAUGACUGUGCCCUUUGCAUUUCUGUGAGGGUUGGCCUUCAACUCUUGCAGCUUCAAAAUAAAUGCAUACUCAAAUAGUUAGAUGCAGUCGGUUUAGGUUUUAGGAAACACCUUAGAGACAGAUAAUGAGAACACUUAAUGUACCUCUGCAACAAGCAUGACUGUUUCCAAUAGGUCACCUACAUUAUCCCCUUUGAGAGCACUGAUCUGAUGGGGAAAAAAAUCAUGUGCUACUCGCGUGAAAAAAUUUAAAGCACUAUGCAACCAUGGGUUAAAAACUUCAGUAAUAAUUUUAAAAUACCUGAACCAUUGGGACAUCACCUCCCCAUUCUUCGGGCAUCAGCCCAAUUGAAGAAAGUUCUUGCAUUACUCGUUCUGGGCUACCUCCCUCUUUAUCUAUCUGAAAGAAAGGAGGCAAAAAAUGAGGAUAUAGCAUGUCUAGUCAUUGUUGAAUAUUAUGCCAAGAUGUUGUACCUUAUUUAUAGCUAUCACGAUAGGCACCCCUGCUGCUUUAGCAUGAGCUAUGGCCUCAUUUGUUUGAGGUCGGAUACCAUCAUCAGCAGCCACCACAAUGAUGGCAAUGUCAGUCACCCUUGCUCCGCGUGCUCUCAUUGCACCAAAUGCCUAAAAUGGGAAUAUAUAUAUAUUUGAUCAUAGCAAUUCUCAGUAAAUUCAAAGGAAAUAUAAAGCAGGCUAAAGUUCGAAAUCAAGUUGCAUUACUACCAUGAUAUUGCAAAAGGGAGAUUUCAGUACUGUAAGUUUCAGAUCUAACCUUCAUAAUUCAAAACGAGCUAUAGAGAUAGGGAGGCAGGAGGAAACACAAAACCUGAUCAUAACAUACAAAAGGUACUUUGGUACUUGGAGAUUACCUCAUGGCCAGGUGUAUCAAGGAAGACACAUGGUUGAAGCUUGCCAUCAACAGGAACAAGUACUUUAUAUGCCCCAAUUCCUUGUGUUAUUCCACCUGCUUCAGAUGCAGUUACCUGUAACCGAAUAAUCAGCUUUACUCCAAGAGCAUACUUAGAAUUUAUGUUUUCAUUCUAUGAGAUGACUACUGGGCAGGGUUUUUAUACUAUCAAUAGAAAACAAUCUAGUAAAGGCAAUAGGAUUCUGAUUUACUGAUCUGGUGCUUCAACACCUACUCAAGCCUCAAACCAAUGAAACCAUAGAUCAUUCUCUAUCACACAACCAAAACUGAUGGAAUAUCAAUAUAUAUCUGUAUUUAUGAAGAGGAGCCAUUGGUUCAGAAGAUUAUUCACCAAGAUUGCAUAUACUUUAGUACAUUUCAGCUACUAGACGUGAUGCUAAUACUGAAAAUUGACAGAUUUGCACAAGUAACACGCCAUGAGAGGGAUGUUACCUUGCUUUUGCGAAUAUAAUCCAGUAGGGUUGUCUGCCAAGUGCAAAACAUUAAGUAUUAGCAACAUGAUGUGAUUUACAUUAGUUUAUGUAUUUUUCCAAACUCAGACAGGAAAGCACUUAAAGUUGGCAACAAAUACAAGGAAAAAGACAUAGAUUUGGUACUUACUUUUCCAUGAUCCACAUGACCCAUUAUGGUAAGAACUGGGGGUCUGGGUUCUAAUUUAUCUAGGUCUUCCUCAUCAAAAAUUUCCUUUUUCUUUGCCAUCUCUUCUACUCCAACAGAAUCAGCAUCUAUUACUUCAACCUCAUAUUCUUUGCAGACCAUCUUGACGAUGUCUCUGUCCAGAGUCUGCACUCCAUCAGGCUUGAUCCCCUUCGAGUAAAGGUACCCAAGAAUUUCACCUUCACUAAUGGCUAAGUUGUAUGCCAAGUCCUCUGUUAACAUCCCUUCUUCAUCCACUUCCAGUAUUUCCACUUUAACAGGAGCUGCAUCCCUCGCUGCUUGGAGCCUUGCAGCCUUCCGACUGGCUUUACUCCAUUUUCUCCCUUUCCUCGCUUUAGGAAAGGAGGAAUCAUCGCCAGACUCAGAUGCGUUACUUAAACGCCUCCGCAAACCCCCAGGAGCACCACCUUUCUUUCGGUUCUCAUCUCUAAACUUUGAAAAAACAGGAGUCUUUACUGGCUUCUGAAGGGGUAUAACUGCCUGAGCAAUAACCGGAUCAACAACUGGUUUUUUGGACGCAAACUUGUCAAUAAGAAUUGGCCCCCGCUGCUUGGACUUUACACCUGAGUCAGCAUCGACAGUAACUGGUGGUCGUGGAGCUGCUCCUACAUCCUUCAAGAUAACAGACUUCUUUAUUACAGGUGAAGGAGGAGCUACCGCAGGUCGUGGAGCUGCUCCUACAUCCUUCAAGAUAACAGGCUUCUUUAUUACAGGUGGAGGAGGAGCUACCGCAGGUCGUGCUAGCAAUGUUGGUUGAACUGCUGGAGGAGGUUGGGGCGGUCUUAAAGGAGCAUGAGCAUCUACUUUCUCGACUUGUGCUUUGUCAAUGUCCUCUUUCACAGUCUUAAGAGCCUUAGGAGGUUCCUUAACAACCAUUUGCACAGUUGCAACUGGAUUACCUUUUCUCCAAACACUCUUCAGAGUUUUAGACUUCUGACCUGCGCCAGAAUUCACAGUUCUAAUCACUUUUGCAUUAGGACGUGUACUUGCUCCUGGUCCAUCAACAACUUUACCACUAUCUUUAGUAUCCGGAGAUGUUCUAGGUGCAGCAGUUUCUAAUUUCUCUGCCUUCUCCAAUACUUCUCCCAAUGAUUCAAUCACCUUUUUUCUUUCCUCAACGUCUUCCGUUUUCCCAACAACUGUUUCCCCAUCAAUUUUUGUCGGUGUCCACGCUACAGAAUUCGUUGAAUUUGUAUUUACAAUAGGUAUAAUCUUAGGCUGAGGUUUCAAAACAGGUUUGGGAGCCGGUUUAAGAACAAGAUCAUCGUCUUUACCACCUCUAAAUGUAGUAGAAUCUACGGAUACUGGAUUCCCCUUUUCAGUAAUCAAAUCAGUAGUAAUCAUACAUUUACAAACAGAUGAACAACUCCAUUUAUGUUUACCCAAAACAUAACCAAAACUACAUCCUCUAAUUACCGAAAUCCUCGGCAAUAACUUACAAUUACUAUCAAAAUAAACAGUUGAAUUCACUCUUACACUUCCCAAACUUGCUAGGGAAGCCAUAGAAGCCAUUAUUCUUAUAUCAAAUUUAGCGUCAGCAUUAACUUAUAAUCUCUUUAUCAAUCCCCAAUACAAUAUUAUCUAAAAAAAAAAACCAAAAAUGCGAAACAAACCCAAAAUCCAAUAUUCAAAAUUGAAGAACCCCACCAAUCCAAUUAAUCAAAAUGUUGUUUUUCUUCUUUAGGGGGUUGCUAAAAGCCUAAAACCCUAGUUUUUUUUUUCAAGUUUUAUAAGAUAAGUUAGAACAAGUAAGGAUAAAGUUGUUACUUACCUUGGUGUUCUUUGAGUUGGAGGGGAGAGAGAGGGAGUGAUGAAAGAAAAGGAAAAGAAGAAGGUUAUGGGUGGUGGGAAAAUGCUUAUUUGUAAGUGAAGUUGUAACAUUGCGUGUGUGGCUAUUUCUCCUCUUUUCAAUUCAUGCGAUAAGGUUUUUGAUAGUUUUACUUGUAAUUCUUCUCAUCUUGUCACAUUUAAUUUCACCCCACUAUCUAUAUUUCUAGCUAUUGAGGUUGUUUCCCUCCAUGUCAGAGUGUGGCUGUGUGGUGCCCAAUUGAAUUGAGAAAAGUAUGGCGAUUUGGUUCACAAACACUCAAAUAAAAUAGAAAUAUAGAAUAAUAACAUGCCACAGCCCUGAGCCCACAAGUCUUGCUUGGUCUAGUUAUUUUUGAUAGAAUUGCUUGGUCUAGUUGGUCUUGGUUGGUAAUCUAAUGCAACAGAGAGAGAAAUGGGAAAUGGUAUGGGGCAUGUGUAUUUUGGAGCCGAAUGAGUCGAGGUUUAGUAUGUUCAAGCUAGACUUGUUUUUACUAGCUGAGUUUAAACCAAGUUUAAAAUAAAUUUUCAGUUUUUAGUGUGUAUCGAAACUCAGUUUGGUUUAGUUCGUUUCGAAAAUGAACCAGCUGGUGGUAUUCCGUAUUCAAAUCGAGCUUUAGUUUGUUCAAACUCGACUUGUUUGUGCUUUCAAGUUCCACUCAAUUUUGAAAACGAACAAGCUCUAGGUGAGAUGAAAACAAGCGAACCCCCAACCAGAGCUAGUUUACAACCUCUAAAUCCCUAAUCAGAGGGUGGUGCCCUAGGAUAAACUCUCAGCAUGUUAAAGUCAUUUACUCAUUCAUCUAGUUAUCUAUGUCGACUGACGUAGGAGGUCCAUUAAGAGUCGGGUGACACUUAAACUCGUGUCUGUCCCCGACUCUUUUCGAUUUUUUUUUGUCUGUCCGACUAUUUUUCUUUUUUUGAAAUUUUGUUUUGUCUUUUUUCUUUUUUUCUCUAUUCUCUUCCUCUAUCUUUUCUUCUCUUCUCCCUUCAACUCACUGCUAAAUGAUAUUGUAAGAUGAAGAGCAAGAAGAAGAAGGUAUGACUUCUAACGUCUGUCUCCACCGUAUCACGGUUCUAUAUUAGUAGCAGUGUAGCACUGCCACUACUAACGGAACCUGGACCUGGACCUUGAUCUGGACCCAAUUCAGGUGUUGUAGUUUUCUGGAUUGGAUUUUGGACCCAAACCCGUUAAAUUUGAUCAUCUAUUACUUGGCCCACUUUAAUUUUUUUUUUUUGCAAUUGAGGGUUUUAUUGGCCCACUUGGCCUACAUGACAAAGUGAGCCUAAAUACAGAAGAUGGGUCAUAAUAUAUUAAUGGGCUGGACCCUAUUAACAAACAAAUGAGGUCCAUAUAGUUCAUCUACUACACCUGCACAAACCUAAAAAGAGUAGCACUACUGCUACGAAUUAUAAGUCCAAAACAACAGUAAUAACAUAUUGUUCCAAAUUUAAUAAACCCUAUAGAAUCAAACAUCUUUUCCUGUAAAGAUAUGAAAAAAGUUCCAAAUCUGCUGUCUGAGCUAAUGAGAGAAAAACAUCCAACUUAGCUUCAUCUUCAUCUAUUCUGCAACAAGAUGGAGGUUUAAAUUAGGGUUUAUACAUGGUUAAAUUAACUUUAUGCAGCUUCAUCUUCAUCUAUUCUGUAACAUAAAAUUAUGAUGGAUAGAUUACCAAAGCUGCAAGUCUGGGUACUGGAGACCGCGUUCUUGUAAGUUAGGCUGAGUAGGUUGGAGACGAAAUGUAUGAAGCUGAGGAGAGAGGGGAGAGAGCUGAAGUAGGUUCCUUGCUUGCUCAUCUGUUGCGUAAAGUCCAAAGUGUUCUAGCAUAGGGUGCUCUACCUUGUGUUCCAUCAUUGCUUGGUGGUGCUCUGCUGCUGCUUGCUGCUCCAAAAUCUAAUCAAUCAACACAGCGUAAUCUAGUGGUUAGUAACAACAUCAAUCCUUUUUAUAAGUUAGAAAUACAUUUUAGCUAUGAUCUGGGUAUAAAGAAUAUAUGUUGCAUUAUAGCACAUCAUAAGACCUUAUAAUAUAGUAACAAAAUUUUGACAUAUAUAAUCUCAAUCUACAAGAAGUUGAUCACUUACGCUAUGAUACAAGUGGCUGUUCUGCUCCUCUAAGAUUUGCUCCUGAAGAAUGAAAAUUUAUUAACCGACAACGAAUCUUAAUUAAUAUUGGAGUGAUGGAGUGCAACCAGUAAAUUCAUCACAUUAACAAACAUAGAGAGAGAGAGAGAGAGGAAGAGGGAGACUCAUUCACCUUCCUGCGCAGGUUGUCCAGCUGUUGCUGCAAAAGUUGAUUCUGGAAGAUCACAAUCUCAAACAUAACAAAUCGAGCAGGAAAACAAGUGUGUGAUAAAAUCAAUGAUUAAACAUAAACUGUAUACCAAAAUAUUAAAUAUAUAUGGUUGCUUACCUUCCUAGCUCGAACUUUGUCAACAGAUACUUCUAGUUGCUGUUCUAGCUCAUUUAGAUCAUUGUAAUCUAAGGCAGUCAAAUUCUCUCCAGUGUAUUGGCGGAUGCUUGCCUGAAGCCUAUCAGUCUGAUCUCUCAACCUUAACAUUUCAUGACGCACUUCCUGUGCACACUAAACAAAUAUCAAAUUUUAACACAAUGUCCAAUAAUCAUAAAAUGCUUUAAGCUUAUCAAUUGAUCAUAUCUUAUUCCUUCUACAUAAAUUAGUUAUUGAUUGUGCCUGCAUCAUUUGUUUAUAUUGAGAAUUGGUGAACUUACAGCAUAUGUAGAUAUAAUUUCUUGAGCCAUUAAUUAUUCCUAAUUAAUAAUUUCUAAUUAACUUCAUGUAUCUAAGGAUCAUCCAAUGAGCUUAUAUAUUUGGUGGUUUUGCAGUACUCGGUUAAGUAAUUAAACACCUUGCUAACUAUUUAAUUAGUCAGGGUAAGAAUUAUUGUCGUAAAAUCUGGGUUAAAUAAUCAUACCUGGUUAUCGUAUUCCUUAAUGGAUUUUCCUGUCGCUUUCUGGUAGCGGGCAAGAAUCUCUUGCAUACUGUACAUAAAUUAAUUAAAAGAGAAAAAAAUGAUUAGUUUCUUCAAGAUUAGCUUGAAAUUUAGCUAAAACAAUUCUAAUGUUAUCGACAAUUUACAUUUUUAAAAUCUCAAAGAUAUUCCUUUUGUGUGUGGAGGAUGAAAUUGAAAGAGGCAGCAAAUUUUAGAUCUACGUUACAUUAAUUUAAGUCAGAUUUGAAGAUUGGAGACUUACUUCUAUGAACAAUAGCUAUAUGAAACGUAAUAACUAAAGCUCUGAAGUCAUGUGUAUGUAUCAUUACAAGCUAUGUCAUGGUCAAACUAUGCCCAAAUAGAACUCCAAAACAGUCUUAGACAAAAGAAAUCAGUGAAGGCAUGCAUCCCUACAUUAGACAAGGCUAGGUUGAAAUGAUAAUUUCAUGCAGAGUUGCAGAUACAUCAGUAUAUUUUGCAGAUCAUAAAUAAAACAAAAUAUUUAUAUAAUAAAUAAAUUUAACAUCAACUAUAGCAUAUGAAUUUCAAUAAAGGCCAAUGUACAAAAUCUCAAUCUAAAAUUAUCGGAAUUGUACAAAAGAAAUUUUGUUUGCAAGGUACCCUACUUUUUUUGUUUUUUUUAUUGGUAAAUUAAUGUACCCUAGUUGUUUGGUUAUACGUAUAUGAUGUUUUAUCAUGAAAUUGAACUACCCGAAAGUUCCCAUUGUUAACAAAUGCAUAAAAUUGGAUACCUAGAAUUGAAACUUCUUUUAAACAAGAGAAACCCUAAUUGCAGAAAAAUGAGAGAGAGAGAGAGAGAGAGAGAGAGAGAGAGAGAGAGAGAGAGAGAGAGAGAGAGAGAGAGAGAGAGAGAUGAACUAGGCUACUGUUGAUCUUCAGAGAACAAAAUAUCUUGAAAUUUACAUCAGAUUCCAUGUCACAAAAGAUCUGUAAACCUUAUGUUAGAUCCCACACAGACUAAGAUGAAAUAAAACUGAUAUUUUUUGUAUAAUGCACCCUAAUAAUCCUAUAAACAAGAAGAGGUAUAGCUACUUGCAUACAACACCAACUACCUAAAAAUCACAUAAAUUCAAGAAGAUCAGUGGGGGAAAAAGGAAUUAAUGUAAAGAAAGAAUGAAGAUUGAUUUGUAUUAUCAACCUAUUGUCUUCACUGGUGAACUCAAACAACUUGCCAGAAGAUGAGAAGAUGAUAAGACCAAGCUGAGCAUCGCAAAGCACGGAAAGUUCUCUAGCCUUCUUGAUUAAACCUCCACGGCGUUUUGAAAAAGUGACUUGCCUGUUUGUAGUGUUUUCAAUCUUCUUGAUCUCAAUCUUCCCACGUCCCAUAAUUACCAUACAGUGUUGACUACGCUUUCUUCUUCUUAGGGAAAGAGAUAACACAAGAAGGAAUUUUUUCUGGUUUAAGUCAAGAAAAAGAACUUUCAAUCAAAUAUACAAGUAGUAAUAAGCAUAAUAUAGCACAAAUUAACAUGGAGAAUUAAUUUGGUGCAAAAGCAAAGCUUAAUUUGUAAUAAAUCUUUAAAAUAUGGGAAUUAAAAGAGACAAAGAACUGUUAUCCAAAGUAGAAAUUUGAGUUUAUUUUUAUAAAAAACCAAAAUGAUUUUUAGACAAAAUAAGCUAAAGUACAUGGAAGAAGAUGAGAGCAAAGAGAGGAAGAAGAAGCUUGUUUACCUGUUGUUGCUUCUUUGCUUUUUUUUUUUUCUUGAGUGGAUGGUAGACUGGUAGAGUUUAAUGAGGAAUGUGAUGUGUGAAGUGUGAUAUAGGAUGUUAUUUAAAAGUAAGCUAGCAUAUCACAUUUCCAAAACUGCCCCUUUCCUUUUCGACAAACUACUCUCAUUGAGUUUAGUGGUAAAAUCAAAAUGGAAAAGAAGUUAAGAAUUCAACUUAGCAUGACAUAAUGGGGAUUAGAAGUGGUACGGAAAAUACACGAAAAUUAAAGAGUUCAUGCAUGCAAUUACUAGUAAUACAUUCUAGACGUGUACCUAUAACGCGGACAUAUCAUACAUUCCAGGGUGUUGAUGUUAGUCCUGGGUGAGUGGGCAGAUUGAUAACUUAAUCAUGCAUGAUUAGCAAACUAAGCAAGCAAGUGUAGCAUACUCUCAAUAAUAUACUUGGAACUAUAUGUAGGGCAAUUUAGUAAAAACAACAAAGAUGAAAACUUAUGGGGAAAACAAUAGUGCAAGUGCUCUUCUAUUGAUUGUUUUUUCUGAACCCUAGACCAAAGGAGAAACAAACAGAACGUCUCUAUACUUCAUCACAUGAAAAUUUUGUUGUUUUAAGAAUUGGACUAGGAGGUGUUUGUAAGGACCACUUUCCCUUUUAAGGUAACAAAAGAUAAUGUCAGAGAUUCUACAACUGACUCUCUUUGACAUUCUUUUCUUCUUACCAACCUCAUUAAAACAAUGAACUUGCAACUUGCUUGGUUUUGGUUUGGAAAACUAUUUCAUUGUUAGUACAUGUUUAGCUUUAACAUUCCAGCUAAUUACAUACAUAUAGAGUGCAUUUAUAAACCCUUGAAGAUAUAUAAUUCAGAAAAUUGUAAUCAUAAGUGGGCUGAAGUGCCUUGGAAAACUUAGACUAGAUCAAAUUCUUAUUUUCACCUAGGCAACAUCGCGAAAAUAUUAACCAAAAUGGUAGGUUGAUAAUGUCCAACAGUGACUAACACAAAAUUUGAUUAAUUCUCAGUUCAUCUUGAAAGUAUGAGACCAGUUUAUCUUGGAAGGAUUUCAAAUUAAAGCAUGAAGCAUAAAAAAUGUGUAACAAACACAGUACACAAAGAAAUUCCAUAUAACUUGAAAUGGAAUGUUUACUAUGAACACAACUCUAGGUGUACAGUUUAAAAGCUUUUAUCAUUUCCAAUUUCUAUAAGCAUUUCAUCUCUGGACUGUCUGUAUUUUUUUAGAUAAUUUAUGUCACAAAAGUUACUGAAAUAUAUAGAAAGAGGCCGGUUCACAGUACGCAAAACACAAAAUGCCUAGCAAACUCCUUGGAAUAUCAUAGUUACCUACGUACAAUUUGAUAAUUGUAGUAAUCAGUAAUAACUAGCUAGAAUAAUAACUAAUACUGUAAGUAAUAAUAGUAGCCACAAUUUGAUAAUUGUACCAUUGUUGGAUUAAAUCAGCAAAAUUGCAAUAAACAUUAACUUGGAAAACUUUUCUACACUUUUAUCUCAUCAUGAGAUUUUAUACAUAGAAAAGAGAAAUUUUUGCUUAAAUAAUUGAUGAAAAGCAGUAGUAUUUUUGCAAAGAACACCUACCCUAUGCUAAUUAAACAUCAAAUUACAUUGAAAGCGACCUUCUUCGAUAUUUAUCCUAAAAUUGAGAAUGUCUUUUUUCUUCUUCUUCUUUUUUUUUUUUUUUUUUUUUUUUUUUUGCUGAAUUUAUAUCAGACAAUAAGAUACCCACUUCUAUAUGCAAAUUUAUGUCCCAGAAUUCCAGAAACACAUACUCCAUGUUCAAAGUAAUUUCCUUACAUAUAUAUACUCACAUAUGACAUCUGAUUAAUUUGUUUUUCAACUAACUCUUUCAAUUCUCAGAAGAACUAACAGAAAAUUUGAUUUUAACAAAAUAAUGAAAUAUUACCAAUAGUUAAUUUACUCCUACUGGCUUUAACUCGGCCAGUUCUUGAGCAUCCAACUAUCUCACCAAAAAAAAGUUCUUGAUCAUCAACUUGCAUCCAUUUGAAAUCGAUAAUGCAUGCAUGUGAUUGUCUGAUAUACAGCUUCUUAAGAGUAGGUAAAAUGCACAUGUUUGGUCCCUUCGAUCAUGUUUCUAUAUAUGUGGUUAACAAAGUCUAAUGACAAUCCUUAAUGCUUUUGCUUUAAAGUUGAUAUGAUGUGCAUGUUAUAUGCAUACCAAAGAUCAGAUGGUCUUGAUCUAAUUCCGAAACAUAAAUUUCCAUCACACAUACAUAAGAGAAAUUCUAUAUAUGGUCAGUUGGCAGUUUGGCACAAGCUUUUAUACUUCUACAAUAGGAUAUAGUGUACAAAAUCAUUGCUGAUUUUUGUUUCUUAGCUAAUAAGCUAUUGACCAAUGUAAUUCUUUCUCUUUGAUUUCCAAGUAAAAAAGUUUAAGAUGUUCUAUUCGUUGAUCAAGUAUAAAUGUCUAAUGGAUGUUAUUUACAUGGAUUUGAAUAUGAGUGACUUCUGACCAAUGUGUUCAUCACACUGACCAAUGUGUACAAACCCUACUUGCAAACAGUCAAUCUGAUCAAAGAUAGUAUAAUUCAUCCAGCUAAUUAAAACAUUCCUUCUAAGCUUUAUGACCUGAAAUCAGUUCUUGAACCAACUAUGCCCAUCACCCAUGAAACAUGGGAGUUUGAUAAAUUAUACCUUACUCUUAAUUUUUCCAAUAAUGUAAAAUUAGUAAAUGAAGACUUUGGUGUAUAUAAGAUUUUUAGUAAAUGAUGUAGUGUGAUGUCGAAAGUCAGUAAUUGGCUGUCAUGAUCAUCACCAGGCAACCCUAUAGGGAAAAUAGAAGGUGGUUUCAUGUCCACUUCUUAAACAACAACAUUUCCCCCCCCCCCCCCCCCCGCUUUUGAGGGGCAUUCGAUUUCAUGGCCUUCGCAGAAGUUUUAAAUGCAUUUUGUUUUUUACCACCAAUGUAGAACGAACUGCACAGUCAAUAAAAGUGACAAUAUCACACAUAUUGUGUUAACUUAUAAGUGAAGUGACAAUAUCUGUUCUUUUUUCCUUUGUUUUGCCAUCAUUUUUUUAAAAAAAAACCAGUUAAAAAAAUAGUGCCAUUUUUAUCUUCCUUUACAAGCAUGCUUUAGUCGCCUACAAGGCUACAGCACAACAUAGGAGCAAUGAAAUAUUUUUUCUUCUAUUACAUAUCAUCAAUGUACUAGCUAAAUAUCAGCUAAUACCCUAUUUGCUUAUAGACUAUCUCCAGCAAGCUUUGGUGAUACUUAAACUUUCCCACAAGAUUCUGACAAUACCAACGUGGUACCAAUCUACCAUCAUGAUCGAAUUCAUCAUUCGUCUAAUUAUUUAAAUUACUUGAUUUCUUAAUUGAUGCAUAUCUUGAAUAUUCCAUUCUUUAAACUUUACCUGGUUGAAUAAUGGAGUGGAUAAGCUUAAUUAUGGGAUAAGCUUUACCAUAUGGAGCAAUUGUGCAAACUGCAUGUUUCAGGGAUAUUUUUUUUUUCUUCUAUAUUUAGAGGAAAAUGUUUGAAGUUUAAUUUUUUUUUUUUUUUUAUAUUUUCUAUAUGAUCUAAUCUCUUAUCUCUACAAACCUAUAUGUGGACAAUCUCAGAGUAAUUACUCAAACUAGCCAUUUUAAGUUACUAGACAGAAGACACUGGGGUGACUUCAUGAUUAUCUUAACACAUCCAAGAGAAGAAAGAGAACAAGGACAAGAAUUUACCCAAAAUGGGCACCUGAUCAGGUGGUCCUUAGUGCUCCACGUUCAUGUGACCAUGUCUUACUUCACUUCUUUGGGGUCCAUGGUGGUCAGGUCUCAUGCUCAUUGCAGGCUUCUGAUUUGUAAUCUGUUUCACCAUUAAAUGCAAACCAGUAGCAAAUCAUGUGAACUGAUCCAUACCCUGAUCACCUGAUGGCAAGUUUGUAGGCCAAAGUAACUAUAGACAUCAUUUGAACUUUGAAGUAUGAUAGUCUAAGCCCAAAACAUUGUUUAUUAUGCUCAUUGGGCUUAAAUGAAGUCCACCCAAGUAACAAAAUCAUACCCUCAGAUAUCUAGAACACAGAAACAAUAAAGUGCACAAAAUCUAUGAAAUCCACUUGUAACCAAUCAAUACAGAGAUGAAUAUCUACUUGGAUUUUGGAAGCAUUGCAAACAGAUAAAUAAGAUAUGGCACACCCACAUGUUUGUUGUAUAUCUUCCCAAACUUCCUCUGUCACUUCUCAAAGACCACAAUGCCAGCAGCAACAAUUUACUCUCUAUGUUUUACUCACAAGAGUCACAACACCUCAUUACCAAUCCAAAGAACACAACCAAACCAUAACCUCUCAACCCCAAAUCCCAAAACACUUCUCCAAAAAGUCCCAACUCCAUCAGACCAAUUCAAAGAAAAAAUCCUAUGUCUUGAGAUCAUGGGAGUAGACUCAGGUAAAGCACUUUCACUUAAUCCAUCUUUACAAACAGUUUCACUUGAUUCUAUUCACUCUAUAAUCUCUUUUCUUCAAUCUAAAGGAAUUCAUCAAAAAGAUAUGGGCAGAAUCUUUGGAAUGUGUCCUACAAUUCUUACUUCUAGUAUUAAACAAGACCUUAUACCAGUUUUUCAAUUUCUUUCUCAUGACCUUUCUGUCCCUUCUUAUAAUGUUAGAAAAGUUAUUAAGAAAUGUCCUAGGUUACUUGCUUGUAGUGUUAGAGACCAACUUAAACCAGCUCUUUUUUAUCUUAAAAGACUUGGAUUUCAUGAUAUGGAUGCUUUAGCUAAUCAAGAUCCAAUAUUAUUGGUUUCUAGUGUAGAAAAUACUUUAAUCCCAAAGCUAGAUUACUUAAUGAGCUUGGGGUAUUCAAGAGAAGAUGUUGUUGGAAUGGUAUUAAGGUCUCCAGGGUUAUUUACAUAUAGUAUUGAGAAUAAUUUUAAGCCUAAGUUUGGAUACUUUGUGGAGGAAAUGAAGGGGGAAUUGGAAGAAUUGAAGGACUUCCCUCAGUACUUUUCUUUUAGUUUGGAAAAUAGAAUAAAGCCUAGGCACAUUGAGGUUGUGCAGAGUGGUGUGAAGGUCUGUUUGUCAUCGAUGUUGAAGAGCACUGAUGAGGAGUUUAAGGAAUUGUUAAACAAGCCUUAAAGAAAGGAUCGGGAAAUUGUUUCACAAAUAUGAUGGUGAUCUUGGUUCAAAGGUGCAUCAUUCUUUUCAUGCAUGUACAAUGUGUGAAUUUGUCGAUUGAUUAUUAAAGCAAUGUGCAUUGAGAUGCUAAUUGCUAAGACUGAUGUGUGUCAUAAAAGCUUGUGGACCAAAAUAGCUAAUUUCUCCAUAAAAGCUCUGGCUCUGCAGCUAAUGGUAAAUAUUUUCAUUUCCUUUAUCAUCUGUUGUUUCUCCUCUACAUUCCUUGCCAAAAACAAUUUGUUGAUGUUCCCUGUACAUUUUCUAAAGAUUUGAAUGAUCUAAUUCAUGCAUAACCAUUUCUUAUCAGAUUUUCACAAAACUACUGAUAUGUUUAAAGCUCCUAUCACAGUCACACCUUCUUCAAUUGUAAUUUGUUUGGGUAGAGGUGUCCAUGAUCUUAUGACUUUGUAAAAAAAAAAUCAGAAAAGAUACAUGGGCACAAUGAACAUAUGUAGUAGCAUACUAGCAUGUACCAUAAAAUAAAACACAAAAAUUAGCAUGUAUUUAACAAACCAACAAUGUGUGUAUGUUACCUAUAACUGGUAACUCAUUUGUUCUGAAUGAUUAGUCAUGUAAGUUUUGUAAGUAAACUUGCAUUCUUUGUGCAGCAUUUUGCCUAUAAAACUUUAAAUAGUUACAGAUUUUUACCAAAUAGAGAGGAUUGAAAAUAAAGUUGUUGUACUGAUUUGUGUAAUAGCUACUAAAACCUAUAAAAUGAUUUGAGUCGUUGGAGAAAACUGAUAUUGAGAUGGGAUGGAUUUAAGCUAAGAAAAUGAAGAGAUAAGCGGGGGGGAUUCUGGAAACUGUUCAGUUGCUGAGCUGCAGGAGGAAGUAGUCCACGGAAAAAUUGUGCCGGUUGUGAUGCGUGAGUUGCCAAAGAGAAUAACAAAGUUCAUAAUGGAGGAUUAGUUUCCAAAUGAUUGUGAACUGAAUAUGAGAAUGGGUUGUGUUUGGACUUCGUAUCAAUUCACUGGGGGACUUAAGAUGAUAAGUUGACAGUAGUUAGAGCAAUACUAUAUAGACCAUAUUAUCAAGGUCACCAUUACAUGUAAUCUAAUAAAAGUAAUGUAUCUUUUUCGGUACAUGUUCUUAGGAAUAAUGCACAUUUAACUUGAAUAUUCUUGGAUUGCUGGAAAAAUUAAGCUUCAAUGAGCAUAUAAUAUGAAGCUAAUAACAUACAGCAGUAUAAUCGAAUCAGAAUAUAGCAUAUAGAUGCCCAUCUAUAAAAACUAUACACCCUUGAAAUCUUAAAUCAUUGAUUCGAAAUUCUCGAUAAUAUGCAAUUUGAGCACACGACUCAAAUAUAAUAUUUAGCGGCAUUCCCUAGUCAAUAUUUUUCGGUUAGAAGGGAGACAUAGAAGUGUACCACCACCACCAAUAACAAAAACAGAGAGAACCUCUAUAUGGUGACGAUAUUGAAACAGCAAAAUUAUAUACCUGCAUAUACUACUGCACACAUUAAGAAUGUAGGACAAAAGUCACAAAACAAGGAAGCAACAAAGGCAAAAUCAGGUUUACAUGCCUUACAAGACCCACAAGAAGACUUGCAAGAUAUUAGAUAAAUACAGUCAGAUAAAUUAUGAAACAUAAAUUUCUUCUGCUAUUCUUCUAUACUCCAAUUUACACACUCGCACACAGAGUCGCAGAUACAUACUUGUUCAUAGAAACCGUCCAUCUUUUGCUGAUGGUUGUUUUUCCUCUGUCAUCCAAUCAAGCAGUUUCUGAUUAACCUGCCAAAUAAAACAAAUUAGAAUGCAAGAAAACAAACUCCAGUACCAUUACUGAAGAGCCUAUGUACUAGAUUAUCCUGACCCUUCUUCAUAUUAAUAUCUUUGAUGAUUUAUAGGACUAUUCCUAUGAAUCUCUGAUACACGAUUUCAUCUUAAUUUGCAAAAUUUUAUUUGGAUAGAUUACAAACCACAUUUUAUAUGUAAUCCACAGUACAGAUAAUUAUACACAUUCAUUUAUUUCAGAAGAUAUGAGGAAAAGUUCACCAUAAGAAAUUGUGCUCUUUCAUGUCCAUCUUCUUGUUGAUUGCAAUGUUCAUGUGUAACAACCUUUUCUGGAGGGAUGGGAAAAACAUAUAAGAUGAAAGAAGCAUUAGCUCAGAUUUCUUCGUUUAAAUGAAUUCCAUCUUUCGUAAGCCUACAUAUAAAACUACAAGAAUAUUAUGUUUUACAAGCCAACAUUAGAAAUGAACAUUACCUUCUCUUUGGGCAAAUUGCUUUGCUGCACUCGGGCUCACAUUUUUCCAAUGACAUCCACCAACACCACAACCAUCACUGGCCUCUAAGCUUUGUGUCUGAAACUUUUCUUUAGCCCAAGCAAUGGCUUCAUUCAUAGCUACUGCAGAUUCGUCCUCCGUAUCUUUCUUUUUCUCACAACUGAUCUCAAUUACGUAAGAGCUCAUUAUUUCUUCUUCUUCAUCUUCUUCUUCUUCUUGCAAAGAUUUGUCCUGAAACCUGGAUUUAUUCUCUGGCUCUCGGUUAUAAAGUGACGAAACCACAGAUGAAGGUGAAUCCAUCUCUAUAUCAACAACAGAAGCUUUGAUGCUUUGGUAUGAUCUGGGUUCAAUACUAAUAGUCUCUGGAGAUGAGCCACUCUGCGAGAAUUUAUAUGGCGAGCUUUUAUAGUUCUUUGUUAAGUCAUUAUCCAAGGCAUGGGACUCUGUGAAGGUAGGUCGAAGCCACGGACAAAUGUCAGAAUUCCCCUGUAUGCUCUGCUUUUCUUUCGUAAGUGCUGCCGAAGAUGACUUCUUUUGCAUUUGGAUGUUAAUUGGCCUGAAGCAUAGGCAGAUAUUCAAUUAAACACAAGAAAAUUAUUGCGUUAAAUGAUGUGUUUGUGUCUCAGUAUUAUGCAAAAGACUGCAGAAAAAAACCAAGCUUACCGAUUCCAAGUAAACUUCAUAGUUCAUACUAACCCCUAGUUCAAACAUUUUAUCAAACAUUUGCUUAACCUUAACCCCAAUUUCAAAAUCCCCUUAACAUUUCUUUAACAAUAUGAAUAUUUAGAUGAAAAGGUAAAUGAGUCAACUCAAACAAAAGGAACAGAACUGAACUACUGAAGUAGUAGUGAAGUAUACCUGAGUUUUGAAGAGAAAGAAGAGAAGAAAACAUCCUCAGCAAUUGAAGGACGAACUGGACUUAAUUCUUCUGAACUCAAAACGGAAGAAGAAUUCGAUUUCGAUAUUGUAGAUUUCAACUUUGAUCUUCGAUCUUCAUCUGAUCCAAAUAUAUCAUCAUAAAAACCUUCAUUUCUAGUAUAAACAGCUUUUCUUCCUUUAUCCAUUGCCGGAAUACUAAAAACAGCUAAAUUCCGACCAGCUCUUUUAGUCGUCGGAAUAAUAUAUUCCGAUGAUGAUGAUGAUGACCGACAAACAUCUUGAUAAAAAUUUGUAGCAAAAUAAUUCAAAUCAGUUCUAGAUGCUUUUCUUGAAAGAACAGUUUUAGGUGGACCACCAAAGACAUCAUUGAAGUCUUCAGGUUCUAAUGUUUCUGAAUCAGAAGAAGAACAGUUAUUGUUACCGAAAUCAAAUAUACGAUGUAUUACCGGUUUUUCUUCUGUUGAUCUUCUUCUUGGUAGAUUUGUUGAUCCCAUUCUCAUUCUCCAUGAUUCAUCCAUUUUAGUUCUUUUUCUUCAAACAGAGUAGUAAUGUGGAAGUAGAACUGUAAAGAAAGCAAGCAAAGAAGAAAGAAAGAUAAAAGAUGUUAUUUAAUUGUUUUAGUAAAUUCUUUUUGCUUUAUUUUUAUUUAAUGGAAUUAGUAAUGAUUAGCCAUGAUGAUAGUGUGUUAUAUGUACGAAGAAGAGCUGCAUCGGUCUAAAUAAAUAGGAAUGUCAAGUGUGAAUGAGUAUCUGUUUACCGUGAUGGAGAUGACAUAAUAGUACAAAGUUGCAUACAUGCAACUGCUUAUAGCAUUGAAGCAGGUUCAGUAUGUUCAGCUUCAGUCUCAGUUCAAUAUUAAAAUGUCGGCAUUUGAAAUAAAUAACAUAUUUGGAUUUUAUUAUGCUGACAUUUGAAUAUUUGAAUAUAAUUUUAUCCAAUUUUUUGGAAAAUGGAUAAAUUCAUCUAUAUUCAUAAAUAUAGUCUCAGGUUCUCAGCUCAUAUUGUAAAUCAAGCGAUCGUGAAACAAACCCAAUCUCGAUUCUAGCUUGAGUAACUCAAAAUCUUAUUGUUUAAGCUUGGCUUGUUUAUUAUUUGAGGAUUUGAGGGUAUUGGUGGAAUGGUGGUUAUGCGAAACCCUCUACUUUUGUGUAAUCAUUUGCGCUUAUCAAUAAAAUUUGUUUCUCGUGUAAAAAAAAAAAAAAAGUUUGCCUUGUUUAGUUGACAAGUUUUAAAAUAUGUUCAAGCCUAGUGCUUGGGCUUGAAGAAGCCAGGAAUUAGCCAAGCCUAGUGCUUGGGCUCGAAUAACACAGCUCAUAUAUAGUAGCCCUACAUGAGUGUGGUGGUGCAGUUCAUUAGCUUUGGUUGAGAUAGAUUGGUGUGAUAUUUGCAAGUUGAUAUAGCUUGAAGGGGUGAGGCACUGAGGCCUACAGCUUGUGCUGUAUUUUUUGAUGCUGACCCAUAGAAUAUUGGAUGAUCCAAGACUUGAAUUGGACAUUUCAUAAGUGGAUACACAGUGUAUAUGUCCCUUUCUUUUGGCUUAAUCAUAUAUUUUACUUUAGUCAAGAAGGAAAAGGAUACCUCCCAUCUAUUUCUCUAGCUAAUAAUAAUACUGUACUACUUUGUUGUGAGAUGUGAAUGAUGUGAUUGUAUGAAAUCCACUUACCAAACUUGUUGUCCCACACAAAAAAACACAAGCAUGAGAGAAACCAAAAUCCCUCUAACCCUCUUCUUCAUAAUUCAACUCAUAUAAUUAAAUAGAUAAGUCAUAAGUCAUUGUAUAGUUCGGUAAGUCUAACCGUGUUUUUGCGAUACUGCUUAGGUAAUUAAGCACCUUUAUAUAGCUAACUAAUAAGCACAUCUGCUCGACUGCUGCCGUAGGCAGAGGCUUAGGGUUCAUGUUUUAUGUUUUGAGGCCUCAAUAAUAGUAAGUGGUUGGGUUGGAUGUAUUAUUAUGUCUUUAGCAUUUGAACAUUUAAUUUGCUUUUAUCUUGAGGGACUAUUUGGGUCAAGAUUUCCUUGUAAUCGACACAAUCUCUAACAAUAUAUUAUCAAAUUAUUGCGACUUUUCUAUAAAGUAUGAAGUUAUGAACAUCUUCGGCAUGCCAUAUGAUCUGUGAAACACUUGAUGGACUUAUGCCAAAGAACAAUAAUGUACUGUAUGUACUUAUUUAUCAUUAAGUGUUACAAGUAAGUAAAUAAUCCAUCAAGAAAAAGGUAAAUAUGAAAAGAUUCAUAACGAAUUAAAGAUGGAAAAUAAUGAUGAGUCGUGGCUGUCAAUGGACAGGAUUUGCACCCAGAAUCUAUUCCAAAGUCUCGUUUGGCUAUAUGCCAGCCCGGCCUAUAACCCCUUAAAAUGAAGAAUGUGUUAUAAAUGGGUAAACUGGCCUUGUGUGUGCAUGCACUUUGAGGCUUGAGCACUCACACAACAACAACAACCACUCUCGCACACAAAUGCACUUGAGCACUCAGAGUCGUCUCAGACCUCGCCUGAUGCCGAUGCCAACUUUGCCAGUGAUGGAGUGGAAUAGGUUGAAUAAUGGGUGCAGCAGUAAAAACCUUAGUAAUACCAAAUGUGUGAAAGCCUUGUAGACUGAUGCUCCAUGGGGUCUAGGAUUACCUCAGGAAGAGUCGCUGUGAUCCAAAAAUGUGGUUGUUUAGAUUUACAAGGCAUAAUUGUCACUGAGUGACACCAAAGAAGGCAUGCAAGAACCAUAAUUCUCGUUGUUUGACAAGCUUAUCCAAUAUUGGAGUCAAAUAGUCAAUUCAAUCAGUUUUCAAAAUUCAUCCAGUCCUCAAGUCGAACCUUGUCAGGAGAAGAGGGAAAGUAGUUAUGAAUUGCAUCAGUCACAGGGUUAUUGGUUCCAGCUUCAUUCCUAGACCUUACAGCCAACUCACAAAGCUCCCUCAACCCAGUUUUGAAGAUGUUAAACUCACCAAAAUGAUGGUCACACAGGGAAUUCUGGACGGCCAACCAGGUCUGAUCAUACACCAUUGCAACAACCAGAUUGUGUUCAUCAGAAGAACUAGAACCAUUGGAGGAAGAAGAAGAAGAAGCCAUUUUUGGUCCCUUUUUCGUUUCAAGCAGACUCUCAACUGUCUAUUGAAGAAGCAUUUGAUGCUGCCGUCUGCUUUUUGGCGCUUUAUUUUCCUAGGAGCUGACUUAUCUCUUGGUUUCAAUUUUUGGGCUCUUAGAUAUAUUAGCCUCAUGUUUGCCCUUUUUUCUUUUCUUUUUUUUUUGCUGCUGUGGCCUAUUUAUGGCCCAAGUUGUAACCUAUUCCUACUUGUAAGAAGGUAAGGUCUAGUCCCCCUUCAAAGCUAUAAUUUUUUCUACGUAAUGAACAGGUAGGGGGUCCAGCCAAACCCUACCCCAGUCUGGGGUUAUUAAAAAAAAAAAAAGUCAAUUGAAUCAGUUAACCAUGACUAUUAUUAUUGAUUCGUUUAUGAUCUGUGUUUAGCCUCGAGGCACUAGUAAUUUUCUAUUGGAGGGAGAAAGGAGCAUGCACACGCGCAUGGCACUAUAUACCUCCUUGUUACUAAAUUUGCUAUUGAUUGACAUUUAAUUUGCGAAUUCUUUGUAUUAUUGCAUUAGCGAACUAUACUUUUGAAUAAUUCAGUAUAAUUCGUGAAUUUUAAGUGUAAAACGUUGUAUACGAAUUACUGAAUUUUUGUAAAAAUCGCACUAUUCUUAACAAAAGACAAAAGAAAUUAAAUUAAAUCAUAAUUUAUUCUAAUUAUUAUCAAUAAGAUUGAUUUGGAUUGAUAAUAAUUAAAAGAAAAAACAACUUAACACUAAGAGAUUUGGAGAACUAAUUUUGUUCUAAAAACUUCAAAGACAAAUUACCUUAUCAAAACUUAUAACGGGGGAGAAUAAAUUCAUGAAAAUUCUUCAAAUAAUAUUGUAUACUGAAUUUUUGAAUUUUGAAAUUUUAGAGGAAAAUGUUUAAAACUCGUAUAACUCAUAAUGCCACGUUUAUCGUUUGCGAAUAUUUGACCACAUUUAUAAUCAAAUUUUUGUGUUUUAAAUCGAAUAUACUCAAAUAAUUCGUAAAUCGAAUUUUUUCCUAUAUCACGAAUUGCUAACAAGGCUAUACCUAAUGCAGGCCAGUCAGCGACAUUGGAGUUCCAACAAUAAACGGAAAGAUGAAAAGUAGUGUUGGCCUUGACUCUAAACUAAUACAACUAAGGGCUGUCAUUCCUGCACCAGAGGUUAUACUCCUAGUUAAGGACUGUUUUUCCUGCGCCAGAGGUUAUACUCACUUUCAAGCUUCAACUCCAUUGAUCGAUUGAUGGCCUUAUGCUGUGUACAUAUAUGCAAGCAGGCAAGCAGCGUUGAGUCGUUGAGUAUGUACAAGUGUGCAACUGCACGCAGGUUUUCAUUCUGCUGUGCGUACAUGAUUCUAUGACUCAGAUCUUUCUCUAUCUCUCAAGUCCCAACCUUCAAGUAGAAGACAUUGUACUUAGGUAGCCAAACCACGUAUUUAACCAAACCAUUUGCACUUAGGUAGCCAAACCACGUGUUUGGACAUUUGUAAUUCCUUGAGUUUAUCAAUAAAAUAGUUUUUCUCUAAUAAAUAUAUAAAAAGUUAUGUAACAUCAGAUUCAGGUAUUAUUGUUGGAGAUCCAUUAAAAUCUCACCAGUUGUGGAAAUCAAUUUAGUAUCAAGCAACACGUAGGUAAAACUUCUAGACAAAUACUCCAUUAAGAUAGGAAACAUGUAAAAAAGAGUAAUGAAGUCAUUGUUAUUCAAACAAAAUCUCUACGGAAAGACAAGUUCAACAGAGUUUCCACAGCUAGAUUAUUAGUGGGAUGAAAAUAUGGUUGUAAGAAUUUUUCUGGUCUUAAAAUAUUCAACAGGUUUCAUUUCACUUUUUGUGUUUUAAUACAAAAGAAGGUCAUCUUUGUUCUACAGCUUUUUAAACUCAUUGUCUUAACUCUCAGGCAGUUUCAAGGUUGAAACUAAAUUGAUAUGAGACUUAUAAAGGCAUAGUGGGUAGGUUUUUGUACAUUUUGCAGGUUUGAAUCAACGUCGUUGAAAUGGACAACUUUGAUCUUUAUAAUGUUAGUGGUAUGCGUCGGAGUGGUUCUUCCUUGUGGAAGGACAACACUCCUAGAGUUUUUUCAAAAACCAGCUUUUCUCAAGAUCAAGAGGAUGAAGAAGCUCUUAAAUGGGCUGCUCUUGAGAAGUUACCAACAUAUAGUCGUAUGAAAAAGGGUAUUUUGCCUGGAGAAAGAGGUGAAGCUCAAGAAGUUGAUGUUCAUAAUCUUGGAUCUCAAGAAAAGAAAAUACUGUUAGAUAGACUACUUAAAGUUGCAGAGGAAGAUAAUGAGAAGUUCUUGUUAAAGCUCAAGGACCGCAUUGAUAGGUAAAGAACAUGUCAUCUUUGUUAUAAUCUUUUUUCUACUUUUUUUUUGUCUUUGAAGGCGUUUACUAUUAGAUUUGAUCGGAUUAUUACUUAUUUUCUUUUCCAUUAUUCAAGUCAGUGUUGGAAUUGAUCUUCCAAAGAUCGAAGUUCGAUUUGAGCAUCUAAAAAUUGGUGCAGAAGCGUAUGUUGGAGGCAGAGCUCUACCUACAGUUUUUAAUUCUUUGAUUAACAUCGCAGAGGUAGUUUACCUUUAUAUAAAUUAUGGUUGGUUCAAUCAUCAUUAUUUUGUUAAUUACUGUUGCACAAUAUGACUCUAGGGGUUAUUGGGGCUCCUACACUUUCUUCCUGGUAGAAAGAGACCAUUUCCAGUCCUUCAAGAUGUUAGUGGUAUCAUCAAGCCAAGCAGGUACAGUAGGAUUGUUCCACUUUCGCACAUGAAUAUUGGUAGAUACUACUGAUUUAUCGCAUGACUCAUAUAUCUCUGGGACAUACAUUUGGUUCACCUCUCAACAAGCUCUGACUUGCAGAGAAAGUGGUCUUGGAUAUGGGAUCAAAGUAGUUUGUUUUCUUUUCUUGCAUAUUUAAGUGUGUGCCUGUGACUCUGGGAUCUCACUGGGGGAUUGUGGAGCAACAAACUUCAUUAUGCCUCGUUGAAUCACAAAUCUGUGUUUCGUAGUUAUAUUUUCUUAUAUUCAAAAUCAACAGAAUGGUACUGCUCUUAGGACCCCCAAGUUCUGGAAAGACUACACUGCUGUUGGCUAUGGCAGGGAAACUUGAUUCAGAAUUAAAGGUAGAGAAAUUUCGUGUCAUUCUAUUUAUACAAGAAGAGUUUCAAUCAUUAUCUAACCCUAGUUUUAUCUUGCUUAUAAUGAAACACUGACCAAGUUUUUGUGGAACAUCAGGUUUCAGGAAAAGUAAGUUACAAUGGUCAUGCAAUGAAUGAGUUCGUUCCACAAAGAACAUCUGCAUAUAUCAGCCAACAUGAUGUCCAUUUAGGAGAAAUGACUGUUAGAGAAACUUUGGAUUUCUCUGCAAGAUGUCAAGGGGUUGGAUCAGGAUAUGGUAUGUCCAAAUAUGUUCGUUAUCGACAUAAAGUACUACACAUAAAAAAGUUUAACAGUCUAUAUAAAUUGUUAUUGUGUGCAAUCUGCAGAGCUGUUUGCAGAACUGUUAAGAAGAGAGAAGGCAGCAAAUAUAAAACCAGAUCCAAAUGUCGAUGUCUACAUGAAGGUGAUAUAGUAGCUUUAAGCCUUUAAUCUACUCGAUAUUUAGUAGGUAAAACAGAGAUAUCUAUCAAGAAAAUAAAAUUGAAAUAUUUUGAUCUGCAAUGAUUUCGACAAUUCUGCAUUCAAUGUAUUUGCUAAAUUACUACCCCUGUGACAUCAGCUGAAUUAACUAUCUUAUCUAAUUAUGUAGGCAGUGGCAAACGAAGGUCAGAAAGCCAGUGUAAUUACAGAUUAUAUUUUAAAGGUAUAAAUUAACCAAAAACAUACAUUGAUUGGUUUGAUCAUAAUUAACCUAAUCAAAAUCUUAAUAUCUUUACUGUUAUGACUGAAAAUCUCAGAUUCUUGGAUUAGAUGUAUGUGCCGAUGCCCUGGUGGGAAAUGAAAUGUUAAGAGGUAUUUCUGGUGGACAGAGGAAGCGAGUCACGACAGGUUGAACAUUUUUUGAUAUGCGUAAUGUGUUACCUUUCUUGUAAUUUCUCUUUAGAUAUUUUGUGUUUUAAGCUUUUGUAUGCUAUAGCGGAAAUGCUGGUUGGACCUGCAAGGGCAUUGUUCAUGGAUGAAAUAUCCACCGGCUUAGAUAGUUCAACAACUUUCCAGAUAGUAAAUGCCCUCAGACAAUCCAUCCACAUUCUCCAUGGGACAGCCCUCAUCUCUCUCCUCCAGCCAGCUCCAGAGACUUAUGACCUCUUCGACGAUAUUAUUCUUCUCUCAGAUGGUCAGAUUGUUUACCAGGGUCCUUGCAAUCAUGUGCUUGAAUUCUUUGAAACCAUGGGCUUCAAAUGUCCUGAGAGAAAAGGAGUUGCCGACUUCUUGCAAGAAGUAAGCCAGGGCCUAAAAACUACUAUAUUGAUUUCAUCUUGCUUCUAUCCUCUGCUUGUCCUAUAUGAAUAGAAUUGACAUUUGUGUUUUUCAUUUGUCUGAAAGGUGACAUCAAGGAAAGACCAAAAACAGUACUGGGCACGUAAAGAUCUGCCCUACAACUUCAUCCCUACUGAGGAAUUUGUUAAGGCAUUCCAGUCAUUCCAUGUUGGCCGUGAACUAGCAAAUGAGCUUGCCACCCCAUUCGAUAAGACCAAGAGCCACCCAGCAGCUUUGACGACCAAUAAGUACGGUAUUAACAAGAAGGAACUCCUAAAAGCUUGCCUCUCUAGAGAACUCUUACUAAUGAAAAGGAACAAUUUUGUGUACAUCUUCAAAUUGACACAAGUAAAUAACCGGUUGCACUUCCCUAAACGUUUCUUUUGCAUUCCAUACCUGUUAUCAUACUGAAUUGUAUUUCUUGGUGCCAGCUUACAAUCAUGGCAUUCGUCACAAUGACAGUCUUCCUUCGAACUCAAAUGUCGCGUGAUGACGUAACCGAUGGUGGGAUUUAUAUUGGAGCUCUAUUUUUUGGUAUCACUGUGAUUUUGUUUAAUGGAUUCGCGGAGAUGAACAUGACUAUUGCAGCGUUACCUGUAUUUUACAAACAAAGGGACCUCCUAUUCUAUCCUGCUUGGGCUUUUUCGCUCCCUUCAUGGAUUCUUAAGAUUCCCAUUUCAUUAAUGGAAGUUGCUGUUUGGGUAUUCGUCACUUACUAUGUUAUUGGUUUUGAUCCAAAUGUCGAAAGGUCUAGUUCAAAUAGAAUAUGUUCUGAACUUAAUCGAUUACAGAUAUGUGUUUCACAUUUCUAACAUCUUGGAAAUGAACUUCUAUAACUGCAGGCUUUUCAGACAGUACCUUCUACUUGUAAUACUGAACCAGGUGGCUUCUGGGCUGUUUCGGUUUCUUGCAGCAGCAGGGAGAGACAUGAUUGUGACAAACACAUGUGGUUCAUUUGCAUUGCUUGUGCUUAUGGUUUUAGGUGGAUUUGUUUUGUCGCGAGGUAUAUAUAUGUAUUAAAUUCAAGUCAGGUUUAUAAUAUACCCUUUGGAUGCAUAAUUUUUAGUUCAUGUACGAACUCCUCUUUCUUUUACAGACAACAUAAAGAAAUGGUGGAUAUGGGGUUACUGGAUAUCGCCAUUGAUGUAUGGGCAGAAUGCACUCGCAGUAAACGAAUUUCUUGGGAAGAAAUGGAGACGUGUAAGUUAUGUAAUGACAUAAUUUCUAGAUCGGUCAACCUGAAUCAUAAUUAAUCAACCUGAAUCAUGAUUAAGAUGUUUUCAUUGCAAAAAAACUAAAAACUAAAAAUUAAAUAAAAAAUUAAAUUAAGAUGUUUGUAGGAACUUGUUAUACACUAAUUUUAAUCAUGUUUUCACGCCUCCUAGACUUGCACCAAACCCAUAAUUCAUCUCUAAGGUGAGCCUAGGUUAAUUAAGUCUAUGUAAUUGACAAGGCCAAGCAAACUUAAGCAUGAAACCGUACCUUUUUUUCACCAAGGGGGGAAUUCUUCCAGAUUAUUGCCUUCUUGUUGAAGUCUUUGGCUUCAUUUGGCAAUUGGCGUCACUUAAUAGAUAAGCUGUUUCUUCUUCAGAGACAAUCCACUAAACAAUCUCCAUCUGAUUAAUGAUAAAGUUGGCUUGUAAAUGCUUCUGCUCAUUGUUUUAAUUAUUAUAACUGCCAAAUUACACUUAUACAUGAAAUUGUAGUUUAUACUUUAUAGCAUAGAUCAGAAACUCUUUUCAAAAAGAAAAAAAAAACUUAAACAUUAAGCAAUGCCAACCCUUUUGUACCAUAAGCAAGACCAAUGAAUAACAAAUAUAUAAUUAAAAUAAGAAGAGAUGAAGAGUAUAGAUUUUUAAGUAGAUUCCAUUAGAAUCAUCCAUGAUUAAAAUUCACUUCUAUUCUUGCAGAUUCCUCCAAAUUCUACCGAACCUUUGGGAGUCCUGGUUUUAAAAUCGCGUGGAUUUUUCCCGCACGCAUAUUGGUAUUGGAUUGGAGUUGGGGCACUAUUUGGAUAUAUGUUCCUAUUCAAUGGCCUUUACACUCUUGCACUUGGUUUUCUUGAACGUAUGUAUCCUUCUGUCAUUUUCUGUCAUACUUUUGCAGCUGAAAUCUACUGUUAUAAUACCGAGUCAUCAAAUUACUGCAGCAUUGGGGAAGCCUAAGGCAGUUAUAUCAGAAGAAACCAUUAAUGAGAGCUCAAAUGAUAUCUCAUCAGUUGGAGCUGCGGAAUCAUCCACGAACUCUUCAUCUAUGAGGACAGAACCUAAUCAGAUAAAGAAGGAAGGGAUGAUUCUUCCAUUCCAACCUCUUUCUAUCACCUUUGACGACAUCACCUAUUCAGUUGACAUGCCACAGGUUGUGGGACAUUUGCUUGAACGCCAGAGGUUUUCUCCCUUUUGAGUUUAAUUGCAGAAAUGCCAGAAAAUUCAUGCUUUUUCCUAUAUUCAAUUUGUAGGAAAUGAGAACUCAAGGUGUUACAGAAAAUCGUUUGGAGUUGCUGAAGCAUGUGAGCGGAGCAUUUCGUCCAGGUGUCCUUACAGCUCUAAUGGGUGUCAGUGGUGCUGGUAAGACCACUCUGAUGGAUGUACUGGCUGGAAGGAAAACUGGAGGUUAUAUAGAUGGAAGAAUCACCAUAUCUGGCUACCCCAAGAAGCAGGAAACAUUUGCUCGCAUAUCAGGAUACUGUGAGCAGAAUGACAUCCAUUCUCCUCAAGUUACUGUCUACGAGUCCUUAGUAUUCUCUUCAUGGCUUCGGUUAUCUCCUGAAGUUGAUUCAGAAGCAAGAAAGGUUAGUUAGCUUCCGGGUUUAAUCUGUUUAUUGUGCUUGUCACUGGGUCCGUUAAGGAAUCCAUUGAUUUGGGAAAGUGAUUGAUGAGUGCAGAAGUUUGUUGAGGAGGUCAUGGAACUUGUAGAGCUAUCUCCAUUGAGGGGAGCAAUCGUCGGGUUGCCUGGUAGAAGUGGUCUGUCAACUGAGCAACGCAAGAGAUUGACUAUUGCAGUCGAGCUUGUUGCGAACCCAUCUAUUAUUUUCAUGGAUGAACCGACAUCUGGCCUUGAUGCAAGGGCAGCAGCAAUUGUGAUGAGAACAGUGAGGAACACUGUGAACACAGGGAGAACUGUGGUGUGCACCAUUCACCAGCCAAGUAUUGACAUAUUUGAAGCCUUCGACGAGGUUAGAUAUUUUGAAAUAAGCAAGUAGGCCUUCAUCUCAAUAGACCUCUAUUACGUAUAUGAACCUUCACUUCUCAAUUUGGAUAUACAGUUAUUCUUAAUGAAGCGAGGAGGACGGGAGAUCUAUGUAGGCGCAUUGGGUAGUCACUCGUGUGAUCUCAUUAGCUACUUUGAGGUGAGUCAUGGUAAUUUGUCAGGAUCAAACUUGUAGAUUUCUCUUUUUGAGUCUUUUAGCAUCCGUUAAAUACGCAUGAUAAUAAUGAUGCAAUUACUUGUGCAUCAUCAAGGGAGUGGAAGGAGUUGAUAAAAUCAAAGAUGGCUAUAAUCCAGCAACAUGGAUGCUGGAGAUGACUAGUCGAGCACGAGAAGAAACCCUGAACGUCGAUUUUGCUGAACUAUAUAAGAAAUCUGAAUUAUACAGGUAAGGUUACUCAAGUCGUCAAGUAGGCAGAGACGGAACUUAAUUUUCUUUAUCUUAUUACUCGGUCACAUUUCAGGCGAAACAAAGCACUAAUCAAGGAAUUGGGUACUCCUCCACCUGGUUCAUCAGAUCUUCAUUUCUCCAGACAGUACUCACAGUCUUUUUUCACUCAAUUCAGAGCUUGCCUAUGGAAACAGUAUUGGUCAUACUGGCGCAACCCACCAUAUAAUGCAGUGAGGUAUCUAUUCACAACUGUGGUGGCAUUGCUGUUUGGUACAAUAUUUUGGGAUCUUGGCAACAAAAGGUAACUAAUAUUUAAGAAAUCCCCGAGGCACUUUGUUCAUCUUCUUCCUAGACUCUUCUGAUUCUGAGAUUUGACUUUAUUGGUUGAAAUUGCAGAAGCAGGCAACAGGAUUUGUUCAAUUCAAUGGGUUCCAUGUAUGUCGCAGUUCUAUUCCUUGGUGUAAAUAACGCUUCAUCUGUCCAGCCAGUUGUUGCUAUUGAAAGAACAGUUUUUUACAGAGAGAGGGCUGCUGGAAUGUAUUCAGCCUUGCCCUAUGCCUUUGGACAGGUACAUCUUUUUCCAUCAACCUUUUAAAAGUAGUUUUAGUUACAUAAGUUAGCUGUUUCUCAACAAGUCUCCUUAUCGUUGCAGGUUAUGAUUGAGAUUCCAUAUGUGCUUGUUCAGGCUAUACUAUAUGGGGUUAUAGUGUAUUCUAUGAUUGGAUUUGAAUGGACAGUUGCCAAAUUUUUUUGGUAUCUUUUUUUGAUGUACUUCACUUUAUUAUAUUUUACAUUCUAUGGGAUGAUGGCUGUGGGUGUGACCCCAAACCAACAGAUUGCUGCCAUUGUUUCUUCUGCAUUCUAUGGCUUAUGGAAUCUCUUUUCCGGUUUCAUGAUCCCCCAAACGGUAAAUUUCCUAUCUUUUAGUUACAUGGACAUAUUAUAAUUUUUUUAAGGAUGUUGAUUAUAUAUAUAUAUAUAGGUAUAUAUUGAGUUUUCUAUAUUAAUACAGAGGAUACCAAUAUGGUGGAGAUGGUACUACUGGUGUUCACCUGUCGCUUGGACCUUGUAUGGUUUGGUUGCUUCACAGUACGCAGAUGUAACUGAAAGGUUUGACACGGGUGAGCAAGUGAAAGAUUUUGUAAGGAGUUAUUUUGGCUUCAAGCAUGAUUUUCUACCCGUAGUUGCAGUGGUAAUCGUUGCCUUCGCUGUGGUCUUUGGUUUACUCUUUGCAUUGGCAAUACGGCAAUUUAAUUUCCAAAGAAGAUGAGAACAUCGUACGGUAGAUUAGUUUGCAAGAAACUUCUGUGGUACUCAACUUGUUGUACAUACAUUUUUCAUAUGUAAUGUAUAUGCCUUACAUUAUUCAUUUCAAACGCAAAUUCGAUAUAUCUAGAAGUAUUUUCACAUGUUCUUUGAUAUUUCUAAAUUUUGAAAACUACCUAAACGAAAGCGCGCUAAUGUUGUCAUUUAUAUCAAUUCACUCCAUUACAACAAUCAAAAAAAUGUUUUCUCAUAAACCAAAAAAAAAUUCAAGAACUCUACAAACUAGGCAAAUAAUAAUAAUCAAACCGCUUAAAUAUCAUAUACUCAAAAAAAAUUUAACAAAUCACACAACAAGCUCAUUAUAAAAUUUUGAUGCAAACCUCUUUCAGAAUAAGAUUGCUUGAUUCAAACAAACAAGCAAACCAGUGAUUCCUCUUUCUUCGCCCCUCUCUGCAAUUUCUCAAGUGCUGCACAGAGAGAAUAAAAUGAGGUUGCAAAUAGCAAACACAAAUAUGGAUCUGUUCUCUCCAAAGCGGGUCAGACCCGACCUAUACUUACUACCUACCGACCAGACGACAAGCAUACCAACAAACUAGCAAAACCGUUGUUGCUUUUUCUUCUCUCACGUUCUUUUAACGCAAUCGUUCGAAAAACGCUGAAGAAGAAGAAGAAGAAAAGAAAAUCGUUUUUCUUCUCUUCUCUGCUCUUCUGCAACAAAUGGAGAAUGGAAACUGUUUUGAAUCGGAAUCGAAAGAGAAGAAAGAUUCAUCUUCUUCUUUGUUGUUUUUAGGAACUGGUUGUUCAAGUGCAGUUCCGAAUGUUUUGUGUUUAAUUCAACCUUCGAAUCCACCUUGUGAAGUUUGCACUCAAUCUCUUUCCAUUCCUCCUGAGAAGAAUCCGAAUUACAGGUUUUUCUAUAUAUUCUUAUUGGAAUUUCAAUUGAAUCGCUUUUGUUUUUUUUUUUUUAUUAUUUACUUUGAUUUUUGCUGAUUUAUGUUAUUAUUAGUUCAGAAUUAGAUCUAGAUCUUGAAAUGUAGGUUUGUUUGAGUAAUUGUAGCUACUUUGUUUGAUCUGUAUGUGUGGAAUUGUAUUAUAUUGGAUAUUUUACUUCAUUUUCUGCUUGAAUGAUGAGAUUUGGAUCUCAGAAUGUGGUAAGAAUGUGAUUGAGUUUUGGUGAUUUGCUUUCUUUGAUUAUAUGAUUCUAGGUCAUUGUUAGAAAAUUGAACGUUUUGAGUGUUGAAUGCAUGAAAAUCUUUAAGAAGUG
rnacentral:lncRNA from 1 species